rnacentral:lncRNA from 1 species
AGGAAAGGAAACUCUAGAAUGGAAUUUACAACUAGUACGGACGCCAUGUUUCAUUGGAAAACUCCUCCUCUGGCAAAUGACUGAUUGCAACUAGGAACCAAUCGGACUUGAAACUUGCAAUAUAGUAGGGGAGCGCAUUAACCACAAAGCAAAGUAGUAGCUUGUUCAGUGCAAAGUCCAAAGUGAGAAUCGAAUUGAAACUAAUCUAUCUCGCAACUCAUCUAUCUCCGCAACUAAUAGAAUUGCUCUAUCUAACCUCAAAGCUAGUUCUUUCGCCGCUGCUUGUUGAAUCCUCAAUGCUUCCAUUUUGUCCGUCUAUACCAAACCUCAUUGCGCUUGUUCCGUAGCUUGGACCACAACACUACAAGGUGAAGGUUAGGCUUGAACUAAAUCUUUCUAGUCGUUUAACUUAUGCCUAUGCCUCUGUUCCACUCCUACUAAGCAAAGCGCUAAUAAAUAGAAUAGCUCACUUCAGUUCAGGGGAUAGAAUAGCUCACUUCAGUUCAUGGGUCAAAGGCAAAACAAGGUCUUUGCGAACCCUUAGCUUAGUGCCAGCUCUUGGGCAAACAAAGUAAUCUCCAGUAAGAAAAGAAUGACAUAAAGAAGAAUAAGUAAACAUAGUAUAGAAAGAAAAAGGUAAUAUAACUCUCCAGGACAACCGCUACGUCCCUUUCUUUUGCUUCAAAACGACACACCCACCGUUUGACUUGAAUAGAAGAUUCGGCACCCGUUAAAGUGCACUUAGUCUUUAGAACUUCCUAACACGCGAGCUACUUAACCCGGGGUUGCUUGUUCAUCUCGCACACAGGAAUUUCAACACCACUCUGUUAGCGCAACUCAUUCAUCUCAAUUGGACUUUCUCGCCUAGUAAAUAAGAUAUGAUGAUUUUGAGGAAUAUCUCUGAUGAAUCUUACUUGCGCCUGCAUCCUUACUGACCCGACCUUAACUCUAUCACUUGUUCUUGCACCGCUAUCCCAAUAGACUAUCCAGAUGGAGCUUGCCAUUCCUAUGUCUUUACUUACCGCCUGCCUUAUCUAAGUCAUUCCCAUCCGACAUUCCUAUGUCUUUACUGCUUUAUAUAAGUAAUUCCCGUCCGACAUUCCUAUGUCUUUACUGCCAGAGAUCGGAACCUAACUAUCCAAACUCUAAGUGUUGGAGGGAAUGAAAUGAUCGAGUAAAAGCUGUUUAGCGGUGGAAGUAGGCUUGUAAUAACUUAGUCGUGUCCUCUUGCUCGUGAGCUUGGCACAGGUUGCUCUUAUUGAGGGGAAGGGCUUUGAAGCGGGGGCCAAGCAACUUCUACAAACGGCCAAGCAACUACGUAAGUUGCGCGGCAGUCGGCCAAGCAACGAUUACUGUUGCGCGGCAGCCAAUAAGAAGUAGUGAAUAGUUAUAACCAAGUCCUUAGUCUUAGAACGCUAGUGAGUUAUGAGGAAACACGGUCAAAAAGGCAGCAACAAGAUUUCCCCUAAUAGCGAGGUCUAUUUCUAUGAUUAUUUAUGGAAACCCGUGAAAAAAGGCAGCACUGGCAUUUCCCCUGCUAACGAGGUCAAAAAGAUUUCCCAUUUGACGUUUUCUCGGGAAACAGCGCUGGCGCGUAACAUUAGUAGUUACUUGCCGGAUAGCAUCGGAGUUUCCCUUCCUGGACCGAUCCAAUUCUAUGAUCAUCUUGCGUUUUCCCGGGUUUUUUCAUUGCAAAUAGUAGAGGAGUCAUCAAUUACCAAACCUAUCCCUUAUUACCAAUUCUCUGCAUCUCUACUUUCUUUCCCACCUAACCGAGUCAUUCACUCCUAUUGAUUUCCCACCUAUCCUUCCCGAAUUAUGUAUUAGGCCUUAUCAAAAGAAUUCCACUAGCAACUCGAAACAACACUUUCCACUUGACCUCGACCUGGACCACUCCACUACACCUAUUGCUACUAAUACGGAAUUGCACUCGUAAGUAGAAGAGCCAAGCAGACCAGAGAACAUUAGUAUAUAUACCUCGGAUAAGAAGACCAGCUAGCUCCAUUCUGACUUCCUUACUACUGAUUAGUUCAAUCCUCUCUAGCUCACCUCCGAGUUUCAUUCUGUAUCUCGAUGCGGAGAGAAUCGGAAUGAUUUGGUCAGCCUGGUUUCAUCAGUAGUUGUAGUAGACAUAGGAGCGAACACUAGUGGCCCGGGCGAGCCAGCCUUAUUCUUUUAAUAGUAGCCAGCUGCAGGGCUAGUUGAAAGAAGUAGGCGUAGUCGUCCAGAAGAAUAGGAAUACUAGAAGAAGAUGUGGAUUUCCAGUCAUAGGUGUCAACGACUUACCGGUUUCAUUCUGUUAUUAGUUAGCUCAAUUCUGAGCCUUGCCAUCUCUAUUCUUUGCCUUGCCUUCUCUAUUCUUUGCCUUGCCAGCUCUAUUCUGUUACUAACUAGGUAAAUUCUGACUCUCACUGCUGAGUUGCCCUCUGCGACUUACUAGUUUGAUUCUGAGGUCAGCGAGCCGAGCCCAGUAGUAUAUGCUUACCUCUGCGUUGCUCUAGUUGCACUCUUUGACUCACCAGUUGCACUCUUGCUGGUAGUGGUUGUAGCCCGAGUACCAAUACAGAGAAUCAGCAGCCAUCGUAUCAGUCUUACUACCCUCGCUUUCAGGCUGUCACUCCCGAGUUUGAGUCUAUCCCUCCUUAGCUACAGGCUUGGAAGCAUUGGUUCUAGACCUUGAUAGCUCGCGCAUCAGCCUGUAACACCUAAGCUUCAAUCUGAGCCUACGAGCCUACGAGCAGUACUUGUUGGAGACCUGAGCUACCAAUACAGAGAAUCAGUAGCACCAGUAUCAGCCUGAGUCAUAUGAGGCCCAUUCUAUCCCUGGCUCGCUCUAUUCUAUCCCUGGCUAAGCUCCAUUCCUAGUAGGAAUAGUUGAAGCCUGUAGCUAUCUACCAUAAGUCUGAGAUGCGCAGUGAUUGGUUGGAGCCUGGUUGCUGGGUGGUUAAGGCUUAGUGCCCUUGCUUCCAUUCUUAGAUACACUGGUUUGAUUCUUGGACUUACUCGCUCCAUUCUCAGUGGUGGUGGUUGAAGCCCGAGCAACACUGGGUUAAGGCUUAGUGACAGUGGUUUUAGUCUGAUAGUAGCUAGGUCAAUGUUGCAUUCUGUAACCCUACCCUAGCUGCUUGGCCUGUAACUCACUGAUUGGGUUCUGUAACACCCGGUCCACUGCGAAGGCUUCGGUUCACUAGUGUCAUUAUGAGUAGCACUUGUUUAAGCCUUACACUACCUGGGUGAAGUCUGUCUAGCACUGGUUUAAGCCUUACACUCGGGGGCCGGAGUAGCUCUUUUCACUUAGCAGCCCAGCAGCCCCCGGGAAGUGGUUUGGUUCUGUAACACCUAAGCAUCAGUCUGAUAUGCACUUGCUUCAGCCUGGUUAGCCCUACUAGGUCUAUAUUCUUGGACUCCCCCGUUUCAUUCUCUCUUAACUACUAGCUCACCUCUCCACUUGAAUAGCUUCCCAAGCCGACCCGACCGAGUAUCAUCGGUGGACUUACUCUAUAGUCUAUCGGGGGAGCCUUAAUAAGUAGGGACUCCCUCUUUACUUUCAUUCUUUAACAAGCAUCGGAGAAUCGGUGGACUAGAAUACAUAGCUGUGCGGGCAAGACUUAAUAAGUAGGGAAUGAGGGUAAGACUUACUAAAUAGAGGCUUACUACUAACUAGUUGACUUCGGGCUUACUACUCACUCCUGACUGAGGGAAAUCGGUGGGAAAGAGAGAAGCUACUACUGGGUGCUUUAAGGCUGCUACUGACUGGUGGAAUUCUUCCCUUUGAACUUAGGGCUUACUAGCUACUAACUUAGGGCUUACUCAACACUAGUAACAGACUGAGGAGAAUCGGUGGGAAUGCGGGCAAUCGGUUGUAUUGGUGUAGUCUAGAUGCGGGCAAUCGGUAGGCUUCCUAAUAACUUAAGGCUUCCUAAUAACUUAGGGCUUACUCAACACUUUGGGCUUACUCAACACUUUGGGCUUACUCCUAGUAACCGACUCGGGCUGACUCUAUAGUCUCUCGGGCAAUCGGUGGGCUUUUUCGUUUAGUAAGUCAAGAUAGGGUUCAUUGACUUAGCUUCUUUUAAAUACUCUAAUUCCAUCCAUGUAAACAUCGAGUAUUAUGCUUUCCGCCAAGCUGCCACUCAGUUCCUAGUAGGCGCGGCUACGGGUCAAAUGCUUAAGUGUUUUCUAUAUUUACAUUCCCAUUACUUUUGAGGGGAAAGCCCCCUCUCAAACAUCAAAAUGAAACCGAUUUCUUGUAUUUAUUUCCUCGAUCGCCAACAACACCUAUUGAUUGAAAACAUAGUAUGGUGCACCGCAACACACCCGAGUAUGAUAUAUGGUAUGGUAUGAUAUGGUAUAGCACUAUGGUAUGGUACACCGGCACACAACAUAGAUAAUGAAAAGAGAACGAACGGCAGCAUCUGUUUUUUGAUACAAAAUGAGAAAGAGUAGAGCUUUGGUUUGGACUGGACUGCUUUUUGCUCUAAUUACUAUAGGCUAACUAGUAAUAAACUAUCAUCAAAUACUCAUCCAUAUUCUAUAUAUACGUGAACUGAGUCAUCCAAUUUUCGAAUGAAAUGAACAAGUGAAAAUCAAAGACAGGCGAGGCAGGCUCACAAGCAUUGGUUAAAGAGUAUAAGAUAGGAUCAGGAUCAUCAGUAAGGUAGUUCUUCAAGAUUCGUUUAGAUUAGGGAAGAAGAUAGUCGUGGAGUUCCUGUUCCUUCUUAAGCCUUAGCUGUUCUAGGUUCAUCGUGUAUGGAAGUCGACGAUAGAAGCUCUGCGUAGGCGCGUGCUCUAGCUUUUCCGUUUGCAAGAUCAGUUCUUGGCUAUUAGUAAGGAGAGUAGCCAGGAUCAUAACCCAGGAGAAGAAGAAGUGAAUAGUUUGAAGCUUAAUAAGUGAUUUUCCAUAAGAUACGUUGAACGGAGGUCAGAGGACGAGAAAUGAGUCUAUUCUUCACUCACAACACCUACUCUAAUUACCCUAAAUUCAUAUCCAAAAUGAAACGAGUAAAACUCACAUUAGCAUUUAGGUGAACUCCCGUUAACACUUAGUCUUGCUUGUCCCGCGGCGCUUGGUGUCGCGUAGUGACUUGGUGCCUCAAAAGCAGCAGUUACAGUAAGUGGAGCACUGGCUGAGUUCCCAUAGUAGUUAGCUAAAGUCUGUGAUCGGUAUGAGUUCAAGUAGGCGAUAAGGGGAGCCCGCCGGUUAGCAAGCUCGGCUACUAGACCUGUCCUAUGGCUACUACUACAUAUGAAACUACUCCACUACUUGGACAACUACUAGUUGGAACAGUCAACCCGGAUUCAGUUUCUUACCUCGCCCCGACCUCUCAACACCUUACUUGAGAACCAGAACUAGGGCUUCGAACACCCAGUCACUCACCAAAACCCGGGAUAGGAUCCUUAAAGUAGUAGUCCAAGUCGGUUAAGCUCUCAACCCUUACUCUAAGGAAGCAUUAAGUAUUUGCAGGCCCAACAGAAUCAGCUGUUUCAAGUCUUGUUUCGGGUGACAGGAAAGCAGUCCGCAGUUAGAGUUUAGUCUACAGGUGAAGAAGAAAGAGGUGUUGCGGGAAAGAAAUCCAGUAAAGACAUAUCAUUCUAAUUAUGGGCUGUCCCCUUACCUAUCUAUAUCUCAUAAGAAUGCACCCACACCUAGAAACUAUGUUCCCUUACCCGCUACACCACUACUAGAUUAUGACCUUAACCCUUUCCCGCUUACCGCUGAAAACAUCUACGAAGACAGGACCCCCCGAACUAACUCUAUCUGAAGGCCCGACCCUAACUCUAAUAAGUGUUCACCCCGACCCGACACAAGAACAGAAAGAUACUUGUAACCGGCAAGCUACUACUAGGAGCCAGAGGAGUGAGACAUAGCUUCAAUUCCACUUAAAGAAAGACUUAACGAGCAGGGAAAGGUCUUCCAUUCAGGUACUUCCAAUCAGGUAUUUGAAUUAGAUACUAGGGGAGCGGGUACGGGACUUCGGAACAAGACUUAGUUUCAAUACAGAAUUCCACUUUUUCCACUGAAGACUAAACUAGGGAUGAAACUCGCCAACCUACCCUAAUAAGUAAGUACUCUCUUUUGACUACCCUAGCCUCAAAGCCGAUACUUUCUUCUCUUCUUACCGACCCGAACUAACUCAUGUAUCUGCUCUAACAGCUUCCCGAGCCUCUGUCAACUCUGAUCUUGGAGACUUCCCCUGAACUAAACCUUUCCUGGACCACACCUUACCUUUUACUUAAAAACGAGAACUCGUAUUGAACCUAGGGAUUCCACUCUAUUCUCUACCUUUCUUACCUACCGAUCCGAUCCUUUACUGAAGUACUUAUAGCUUCAAAGCCAGUAAUUGACCUCGCCUCUGUCAACAAUACCUUAAUUUCAUUCUUAUCCUAUCACUCUGGCUUGGCUCCUCUGUAAACAAAUACUUCCUCUCCUAUUGCUACUAAUACAGAUGAAACUAAUCUACUACACCUCUGUAUAUCCCUCUCUUGCUCUUGCAACUCACCACUCGGUUAAGCCUUAGCCUUUGACUCUAGAAUUCCACUAUCUACUCUCAACUACACUUUCUACUUAACCUCAAACUCCACUUUCAUAGCUUCCCGAGCUUAGUAACAGACUUUUGGCAAUUAAUACCUGAUGUACUAGAUGCUGGCCUAGUAAAAGACUUCAUAACAAGUAACUUCCAGCCUACCCGCGCCCAGUAACUUCAUGAAACCACUACCCCUAGUUAAGGAAUUCAAUAAGAGCAGAAAUCUACUUUUUACCAAUUCCCGGUUGAAGCCUGUUUGCAAGUAGUUUGGUUCUAUCCCUUAUGGUGCGCUCUCGUACCUGUAUUCUUGACUUCCAGUUUGAUCUAUGUGGGGGGUUCUUCAUUCUCAUCAGUGGUAGUUUUGUUCUAUAAGAUAAGAGUCAUAGUGCCUAGCCUAGUCGUUACUUGUCCCCUCCGAUCCAAGCCGGUACCUACUCUUUGGCUUACCCUUUUCAUCCUUUGUAGCAGCGACUCAAUUCUGAUUUCUAACAAUCAACUGUAUGUUAGUCUUUUACUCUUCUACUCGAUACUCUGAGUCUAGGACUCACUCCCCAUUCUUAUUGCUUAUAUAAGGAUCUAGCCUCUUACUUACACCCGGCAUUCCCUAUAAGCCCACCACUCACUUAGACCAACAAGUAGAAUUCUCCCUAUCCUCUUGCAUUAUGACACUCCCUGCUCCCAAACUCAAACUCCCGACCUCGACUCUUACUUGCAAUCUUUGAUCCUAUCUCGGUGGGGGUGAGCUUAAAACCACCACUCCAAGCUUUUAGGCUUAAGCUACUGAUCUGACUUCUCUACUCGACACUCCUCUAUCUCAGGCUUACUAUCCUUUCUCUUGGUCCUCAACUACCAACUCGAACUAGGAAAGAAACUACUCGCUCUAAAACGGAAGCUACUGCCUUUCACUACGCUGGGGCUAGGACAGAACCAACUCGAAACUAGUAAUAAUGACUAGAAGGCUUCCACUCAAAAGUAAGGAUAAGUUGUCUACGGUAAGUAAAAGAAUACAAAAAUGAAGUAGUAAAUCAAAUAAGUUUGUUCUGUAAGUUGGCAUUAAUUAGUAAGGUACCGAAUUAGAACCUCCUCCCUAAAGCUCACUUCCUUCUUGGGGACCACUUGAAGUUUGCAUCUGGACUAUUACUACUAUUCUUAUUCUCCUAACCUACUGUGAACGUAUCUACUUACUGUUUGCCUAGAGUAAACGUAUCUCUUACUGGGGUGGGGAAUAUCUCCUCUCCUCUUCUCUUGCUCCGAUAACUAUGGCAACAACUACUGAUUCAAAAGGACCAGACCUCUACUUGAACAGGAGCAGGCAAUUCUCCACUACAACACUAAACAAGAAAAGUACUGGCAACCGAAACAAUACUUUAAACAAAAACUCCCGGCUAGGCUCCUAUUAACUUAUUGAAACAAGCAGCUGGCUCUUCUCUGGCUCAUAUAACUCCAUUUCUUUGAUACCUGAAAAAGGCUCCUCUCUGGUAACAAUACUAUAUUCCUGGCACUGCAGCUGAACCUUUACUAUUUGCCUACUUCCACUCAAGCUUGCUUCCUCGCCUCUCCGGAGUCAACUAAUACUUACACAUAGCUUCUUUUCUCUCUUAACUAGCACAUAGCAUCUUUUCUCUUAACUAGCACAUAGCAUCUUUUCUCUCUAACAACUACUGGCUCUGCUCUAACUGGUUCUCUGGCCUCUCUCUGCUCUGGCUAUCAUCUCAUCUAACUCUGGCAACUAGCUAAUCUCACUCUGGCAACAAUGAACUUCAUUCUUAUCCACAAACACAUAGAAAGUAAGAAAUACAUCGAGAGUAUGUCUGCUCUUAGUAAGCCCUUAACCCAGGAUCUUUAUAUGAAUCAGGAGUGGGAGCAGGAUCUGUAUCUUAUGCUGUUAUCAAGUACGGUGGUGGCGCAAGUGCAAGUACAGCAGUUUUCGUCUUCAAGUCGACCAGAGAAUGAAUCCGCAGUUCGAAAGUUGUCUACAAGAUCGGAAGCCGCAAGUGGUUAUGCAAGUGAGGGUGCUAGUGCUCUUUAUAGCCUAGUUAGUCGACUCUUAUUGCCAGGAAAGCUGUCUGCAGUGAGAGUUUCAUCCCUUGUUUCAUCUGUUCUCUUAUAUAAGUCAGUUAGUGCUUCAGAAGCGGGAAUAUCCGUUUUCUCAGAAGCGGGGCCAAGCAACUACUACAGACCAAGCUUAGUAGUUAGACCAAGUGCUGUGCCCUUAAUUCAUUUCGGUAAGUCUCUUACUUAUCAGUGAGUUGAAUUCAUUCUUUUACGAAUUACAAUAAGGGGUUGCCCUAGAUACAGAAUAGCGAUAACUAUAUUAACUCUUUGACUACGCUUAACACAUGAACUUAAGCCUACCCGCCAAGUAAGUAAACAAAGUGAGUGAACUACCCGACCCGACCUCUUCUCUUAGUUAGUAGGAUAUAGGAUUCCACUCGCCAAGUCAUUACUACAAAGACAAAGACCGGAUAUUGCUUAUGUUUCUCGGUACCAACACCCGAAAUCCUCAACCAGACUUUCACACUAAACUUCCCUUGAUGAUCCAACAAAGACAGAUGGAACUCGGAGGAUAACUGCCAACUCUCGGCACAACUUACAAUAAGGGCCUCUACAUUCCCUAUGGAUACCCUAUCUCUAAUUCAUUCCUUAUACCCUAUCUCUAAUUCAUUCCUUAUAUAUAUAUGCCCGAUCUUGAAAAGCACUCUCCGAAUACAGGACUUGGGCAUAACAGCAAAUAAUGUAUUUCUCUAUGAGCCUAGUAACUUCAUGAAACAAGUAAGUAAACUAAGUCAGUAAACCUACCCGAGCCGCCAAGACAUGUAUGAUGUGUUACUAAAGGUUAGCUAGUCAAUUGGAAUCAAACAAGCCUACCCUACCCGUGUAAUCGAAUGAAACAACUACCCUCGCAUCAAAGCCGAUACUUUAUUCUCUUCUUGACGACCCGACCUCCAGUGUUAACGUCUACCUCGAUUCUUGUUCUUCUCACUCUCUUCUGGCAACUGACAACAAAUCAUUUUGAAACGUCAACUUAGCCUCCAACUCUGCCCCGACCCCUAGUCACUUCUUUAAACAAGCCCAGCAUGAGACAGACCCCGCUCCUCUGACAACACCCACUGAUUCUACAAGGGAUUGCCAAUCUCUCUUCUCUGGCUACUCGGUCUUCCACUAGCUACUCUUAACUACUGGCAAAGAAUUCAACUCGAAAGAGCCAAGUGUAUACUAGACAAGGAGACAAGUCGACAAGCAUAUACUCAAUAAUUGAAUGAGUAGGAGCUACCCUAUUCUUCCACUUAGUAGUUCAAUUCUAAUACUGACCUUGCCCACACCUCUUUGAAGAGUAUCAGUCUUUCCUUUAGUAGCUCCAUUCUCAGUAGGAAUCGUUUUAGACCUUAGCUCCCUUGUUAUAGACCUUAGCUCCCUUGUUAUAGACCUUAGCUCCCUUGUUAUAGACCUUAGCUACCCGGUCUCAUUCUCUGUCUCACUUGUUUCAGGCACCAAGCAACUACUAAUGACCAAGGCGCUGCACCAGUUUGAUUCUUACUAGCAGUGGUUCAAGCCUGUUUCGUCCGUUGCUUGGCCUUGUGGAAUUCUGAGUAACACAGUGAAGUCAUUGACUCUAACUUGAUUCUGAUUUGUCAUAUCAACAACUAUAUCAGGCCAUACCGCUACACUCUUUUUCUGACUUGCCCAUUUCACUCUUCAAUUGAUUAUUCCGUGACUUGACCUACUGCUUCUCGGGAUUUCACCAACGAUUCUAUUACUGUUGACUUUGCUUUGGAAUCAACUAUGAAUUGUUAUAUUAAAUGACUAUGCUAUGAUUACUCAUUGGAACCAAUGGUAGUGUUCAAGUCCAGUAGUAAUAGCAAAUAGAGUCUAGUAAAACACAUGAUGAUACACGUUAAUAUAAAAGCAUAGAAACAAAUGAGAUAAAAGCAUAGAAACAAAUGCUAAUAUAAGAGAAUAUAAUAUGGAAAAGAUUGUUCUGACCCUGCAGUUUCAUCUAUUGGUUUUGUAGUGACUUGGCUGUUCCGAGCUAGGUUCUUAUUGGUUGUAGUCCCAUUCUCUUCUUACUAGUUUCAAUCUUGAGAUCAGUAGUUAUGUCUUGGACUCCCUGUUGUUAGUUUGCUCUCUCGGGGGGCUGUAGUGUUUAAAGAAUCCAAGUGAGUUGUUAGUUUCCCUUUUGCUUGUUCAAGUGAUGGUAGCACGCCCUAGUUGGAGUUUGAUGACACAAUUCCUUAUUAUGAUUCCCUUAUAUGCCCAUGGUAUUGCACUCCCUAUCACUAUAUUGAUUCUUUGACUUAGCUUUGAUUAUGAUACACACCUUAUAUUGGUACUGAUGUUAGCACCCUUGCUUAUGUCUUGAAUUAUGACUUGCCGACCUUGCUAGUAGAAUGGCAGGCUUAAGGAAAGGCCGGGUAGACUAACCUCUGAUAGGGCAAGGUCUGAUUUAGUCUUAAGAGUGGCAGGCGUAAGCGUUGAGAUGCAUAGUCAGAAUAGGGCUAAGACAAUCCAACACACACGCAGACUUCUCCCUUUGCUAGUCAUUCUUUGACUCACUUGUCCGAUUCCCCCUGAUCUGGUUUCCAUUCCCGUAUUAACCUCUGUUAGUAUUAUGAUUUUGUUCUCCCUACUUGCGUUGCUGUAUCCUAGUCUAUAUAUCUUGCCUAUUAGCCUACCCUUCCUCGGUUGAAAACCAUAUCUCUGCUUUCGACCUAACUAUCUGUCCUAUUGGUCCGCCUUUCCAUACCUAUUCCAUUGACUAUACCUUGAAUUCAGACUUGUCUCCACGCUAACUCUUCUGCAACCAACUACUGGAGUCAAACUAUUUAUUACUUCUUAGCCGGAAACUGUGUUACUAGAGAGCUCCCCUGCUACGAGAUAUCGAACCAAAGUAUGGAAUGCGGGGUAGCGCCAGUAUAAUAAAGCUACUCAUAAAAGCACUUUACUAGUAUUAAGUAACAAUAAGGCUGAUACGGGGGCCAAGCUUAUACAUUGAGUGGAGACUACUGGUUUUCUGACUUAAAUAAGUUUGCUUACCUAGUGCUCCGGCUCGCAAACGAGUCACUCAUCAUUGAACCCUGCUGUCAACUAUUGAAGUUAUGGCUUCGGAAGCUGGCUAACUGUACUUGCCCUUCUUCUCGGCUUAAAGUACAACUUCUAUAAAACAAAACAGGCAUUGACUUCUCGCUUGCUGCUGAGGAAACAAAUAAGGAAGGGGACAUUCCAUAAGUAAACUAACCACUCCACCACUACUUAAAGGGGCAAGAACUAGACUUUCAUAGCUUACCAAGUCGACCCGACCUCUAGUGUUAACCCCGACCCUAACAAGUAAGUCCACUAUCCCUCCCCUCUGUAAACAAAUACUUUGAUGGCUCAUCUACCUAUUGUUCUUUUCUACUUUCCGUAGUUGCUUGGCGGUUGUUACUUGUUUCAGUCCGAUCUUAAUCUUAGGCAGCUCCAUUCCCUUACUCCCUGGUUUCAUUCUGAUAUUAGCUAGUUCCUUUCUUGGAUUUAGUGGUGGCAUUCUCACUCACUCACUCCGAACGGUCUUAAGGCUGUUACUCACUAGGUAAAUUCUGUGACCUAUGGGUUGAAUUCUGAAGUAGGUAGAGUUAAGCCUGGUUAUUAGUGGUUGCAUUCUCAUUAAUGUACUUACAACUCUAAACUCCCCUUCCAGCUUCCUCGCCUUCUACUUACUGGCUUCAGCCUGUGUUUACUAACGCCGUUCCAUUCUUGAAUUCCUACUGCCAGGACUACCUGGUUUCAUUCUCAGUCUUACUGGUUCCAUGACUACCGAGUGGAAUUCUGUAACCCUACCUUCGAGCACCCGGCUCCUGAGGUUCUAGAUUUCUUCUUUGCUUAACAAAAGCACUGAAUCCUCUCCUUUGGCUAUCAUCUCGCCGGCAACUAAUCCUCUCCUCGGGCAACUAAGACUUCCUCGCCUCAAAGCCAGUACUCUCUGGAACUACCCGACCCUAACUCGUAUACAAGGGGAAAGCCCGGUUGAUAUAACACUAGCACCCGAACCGACCUAAACAAAUAAAGAAUUCCAAUCUAACAAGAGCAGGAGCAGCUUUUUCAUCUCUAACACCCAGCUACCCAGCCACCCUAAAAACAAACACCCAGCUACCCAGCUACCCUAAACUUUCCUUUCCACUCUAACAAGAACAGGAAGAGGAGUGGGCUCUCAACUCAACUAAGAGCCAAGUAACGUAGCUCCCCCUGCCUCUAUCUCCUCUGGCUCUCAUCGAAUCUCACACCCAAGAUCAGAAGCGGCUUUUCCAUCUCAUCCCUUAGUUGACCUUUCCAUCUCAUCCCUUAGUUGACCUUUCCAUCUCAUCUCUUAGUUGGUUAGUAACCGGCCUGGCCUCUCCUUCCUACUGAACUGCUUCCCACAAAAGUGAUUGCUCUGAGUUGAAACCUAGCUUUAUUGCUCUGAGUUGAACCUAGCUUGAUUGCUCUGAGUUGAACAAGCAGUUCCAUGACACAACUAUAGCAUCAGGCAAUCGGUGGGAAUGUAGCUACUGGCUUUAAGGCUUCGUUUCACUAGUUUGAUUCUGAGUCUACCCCGCUGGAUUCUUUACUAGUGGUGUCAAAUGCGGGGAAUCAGUGGGCAAGGGAAGAAUUGGCAAUACUAGCUCUACUCUGUCACUCCCCGGUUUCAUCCUGAUACUGCUUAGUUCCAUUCUGAUACCAACUAGCUGCCCCCUAGCUUUUAGCUUAUACCCACUAGUUCCGCUCUUUGGCUACCUGGUUUCAUUCUUCCUUUCGGUCUGUUACUACAGAGUGGAAUCCUGACUUGCCUCAUUCGGCUACUAUACAUUCAUUCUUAUCCGAUACCUCUAUCUGUUCUCUUCUCUUGCUACUACUACUACUACUAAGAAUAAGGGAUCUACUAACUGGUUCGAGGGAUGGGGGGAAUACUUAUAUAUCCUCCCUUGAACCCACCCUUGAAUUAUCAUAUAAUAAUAGUUGGAUUUCGAAAGGUUUCAUAAACCCGUGCAACUGGGCUCCUGACGCCAUGAAGACUAAUUGAACAAAGUUGCAGGAGUGGUCUUGGUCUCGGGGCUAAAUGUAGUAGGAAAACGAAUUCUUCAAUAACGCAGGGUAGGUUCGCGCAGCAGUCAACGCGCGGGCAUCAAACGGAAUUAGGAAAGUAACACAGCUAGGUCUUCGUGGACAAUCGGACAUCGACCAGGGAUUUCAUCAACAACACUAAAAGAGUGUAGCGGGCCAAGCGCCAAGACACGUAUAACGGCCUGGCACCUUGCACACAAAACACUUCAUAUGCAUUUCACCUAUCGCGUAGACUCCCUGCCUUAACUCCUAGCCUACCCGGGCUUACUUUCUUUCUACAACUACAGGAUUCAGUACAGUUUCUUAUGAUAUGGAAUCGGCCCAGUGAUAACAAGGCUUGAGCGAGUGCUUACAAGGCUUUGGUAUGAGGCUGGCAAUCCAACUACUACGAUCAGAUGCACUACCUCCGCCAGUGGAUCAAACGACUAAUAUAAGAGAAAGGAUUUACCCACCAAUAGAGGGAAUGAAACACCCUAUAGAGACUAUGGAGAGGGUGAAACCUGUGCUCCUCUUACUUUAACUCAUAUUAGGGAAUAAAACACUGCCCUAAUAGCCAAGUAACCACUAAUUAUAGGUAUACAACUCGCAAGUCAUAAUCAAACAAAGAAGUCAGAGGCAAGUACCAAUACAAAGAGUAGAACCCGCGCUAACAAGACCUAAUACUAUGACGGAAAGGAUAUAGCUCCAAACAGGGAACUCACCUCUCAGCUAGUAAUUAAACUCGGAACAGGGCUCCGCGCCUACCUACCCACCCUAGAGUUAGAGCCUUCUAAUUGACUCUUUCGUUCUUCAGUUCUACUUAUAGAGCCUGCCUGCCUGUCUAACAUUACGAAAAACGAAUCUUACUUUACUGCCCUUUAUUCUUACCUUACCGGCUAUUACCUAGUAGUGCUAGUGCUCUAAUGGAACUCUGUGGUAUCUAACUCUGUGGUCUCCCACUUGGGUACCGGUAUAAGACCUGUAAGGAUCGGACCCAUAUAGGGGAAUCACCAGACUAAAACGAAGAAUCAAGAAAUAGGAAAACCAAGUCAAAGUAGGAAACUAGGAAGUGUACUAGUAAUAUCGGAAUGUAACUCUCACACUGGCAAUAGAAUUACUGAUGGGCAAAGAUGUCACCGCUAAUGGAAAUACUUGAACUAACGCCAGCAAGGCUCGAACAGUAGCUAACGAGAUUGAAACAAGCGCUAACUGGGCUGUAACCGCUGUCUUCUAAGAACGAAAUCAAUGCUAACAAGGUUAGGAACCCGUACCAACAAGAGCGCAACCAAGGCCUCUACUACCUUAACUCAAAAGUAGGGCAGCGAACGAUGGCUACUGAGAACAAGGAUUGACCUAGCUACAACCCCCUAUGGGCGCUUCCUCAAACCUAAUCAAAAAGGCAACCCAACACCAACUGCAAGAAUUUCAUGACGGCUAACAAAACCUUACUCGCUAGCUUCAAACCAACUAUUUGACACCCAAAUCUGGCUUUACUGCCUAUAGGUCUGACUUUCCUGCCUAAUAGUAUGCCUCUCUCGCACUUCAUUCUCGAACCACUGCUUCUGAGCCUGUCCCUAUUAACCAAAAUGCUGACUACCCUGUAAACUGGCCUUGCUUAUUAGCUUAAGUCUACUGCUCGUUAGCUGCAUUCCCACACUGUUAACACACAGGUAUAACCUAACUGGCUUACUUUCAGCCCUUAGCUACUGACCUUGAUUCUUACUGUUCUUUAAUGCCUUAACUGCGGAUUCGGAUCUCUGCUUGCUCUACACGAUAUAUGAUAAAGUAUACUGGUCUCGAACCCCAGGACCAAUAGACACAAUUGAACACGGGACACAUUGACACAAAAAGAAAGGCUGUCGCUACUUACCUGAAAGCUGCCCUUGCUUUCGUUCUGUCACUACUAAGAUCAAUUCUGUAACUCACUGGCUCCAUUCCGAUACUGCUUAGUUACAUUCUGACUCCGGUGUUCCCUAGUUUCAUCCUAUCCGUUCACAUAUAUAAAGAAAAGAUAGAUUUUAGUAGGGGACAAGCCUACAAAAGAGAUAAGGGGACAAGCCUACAAAAGAGAUAGAUUGUAUCAUUGCUUAACACAAGCACCCGACCUCCAUAGCAGCUUCCCUUUCUGACCCUUACCCGACCUAUCCUCUUCAAUGAAACUAAAAGGGGUGGCUAGCAGGACCCUACAUCCACUAACUCAAUUUCAAGGGGAAAGCCCGACCUCUUCUCUAAUAAGUGUUAACCCCGAACCGAGACAAGAACGGAAAUAGUAUCUACGGAAGUCGACCUAUCCCUCGCAACAAGGUCUUCAACAAGUGCUUUCUGAGACCUAGAUGCUUACUACUGACUUCGGGCUUACUACUAACUACUUACUUCGGGCUGACUCCUUACUCCUUACUUCUGGGAAUCAGUGGUAGACUACAACUAACGGUAUUCAACAAGAACAGUAACUGGCCAAGCGUAUACUAGAUGCGAGCCAAGUCGACAAGCAAAUACUUUUUACCAGGCAAGUAACUACUAAUGUGUAGCGACAGAGUCAAAGAUGCUUGUGUUUUCCCGUCUAUUUUCAUAGCGAAUAGAUUUUCCCUCCUGGGCCGAUCAAAAGAGAUGAUCAUUUCACGUUUUCCCGUGUUUUUUGGUUGCAAUCUGAUUUCUCUUAAUAGACCGAUCCAAAAGAUGGAUUAUUUGACGAAACACGGGUUUUUUCGUAGCCAAUAGUAUAGGUCACUUGCAACUUCCCCUCUAUCCUCUACCUAAGUAAACUCAUUCCAUUCCAUUCUUAUUGUCUGCCGAUUACUACUGAGUUCAUUUAUUCCUAACAUCUUGCUGGCCUAAACUAUCAUAUCUUCACCUCUUCUUCUUGAAUUACCUGAAUUACCAAGCUAGAUCUAUACAAGAUACUACUUCGAGAGAAGAAAGGCCUGUUCGAGUGGAAGCGUUGAAUUCCCUCCCCUUUGCUCCGACCUCUCCCUUCUGUAUUAGUUUCGAAUUCAAUCUAUCUCUUUUGCCUCUGAUACUGAUCUCUGGUAAGCCAACGUCGAGGAAGAAUCAAGUACCGGACCGGAGCAUUAAGUGGAAAGUCGAGUAUGCCCAAGUGCUUUCUUCGUCGCCUGUCUUCAUUGUCUUCUCCUCUAUAUGACCAAGUGCUUUCUUCGUCGCCUGUCUUCAUUGUCUUCUCCUCUAAGUAUAUAGUGGUAAGCCAACUACUCUAAGUAUAUAGUCAAAGAAAUAAGCCGACAGACAAAAGUAUAUAGUCAAAGAAAUAAGCCGACAGACAAGUAACUACUAGACAAGACACUACUAGACAAGGCCUAAUCCACAUAAUAAGUAAUAACAAAUCCAAAGUGGAGAAUUGGUUUCUUGUUCUAAUUGUAUCUGCGUGACGCGUCAGUAAACCCGUGUCGCAGCAGGGCCGCUUGUUCAAAAGAACCCUGAUAGCAACAGUUAACUUCCUGUGCUUCUCUUGCUUCCACGACCUCGCCUCUUGCUACUAGAACCAUCCUCUUGCUACUAUCCCUCCCCUCUUGCUACUAUCUGAUAGAAUCACUUUUGAACUCACUUCCACUAUUGCUACUAUACUAUCUGAUUGCCCCAACUCUCCUUGUUGAACCAGACACAAUCACUCUCCUUGUUUACUAUGAUAUAAGGGCUACAACACUGGUUUCUGGAGCUGGAGCAGUUGAUCCGAAGUCAACAACUCAUCAAUGGAACUCCCUUCCCUUUAGCGCAACAGAACAGUGGACUUGCUCAUCACUCCGGGUACCUCAUAACAGGAGCAGCCUUAAGCUUUAUUAGCUCGAUACCGUUCAAACUAGCAGCCUGCCGCGCUACUACUUAUAUUGAUACUGAUCCUGCCGUUGCUUGGCCUCUGUCUCACUUGUUUCAGGCUUUCACUCGCUGGUUUGAGUCUUGGAGUUACUGGCUUGAUUCUUUUCCUUGAUGCCGAACACAGGACUUGGUCAAGAACCAGAACUAGACCACUACCCUAGCAACUUUCCUAGACUAGCACUACGGUUCUAUUUCUUCCCAUUUCUUUUAUUUAACUACUCGCUUCACCACCCUAUGCCUCUGUCCUAUAGAAACUAUCAACUACUCAUGAAUAGCUUACCAAGCCGACCUCCACUCAAGCUUGAACGGAUGUUAACUCUCCUUUCCCUUUCUUCCCCGACCCUACUUCUUUCUUGAGUUUGAGCACCCGAAACAUACUAUAAGGGCUUCUCUACUUCCUCUGUGAACUCCGGCUAAUCUCAUCAACUAUGGCUUAUCUCACCCAAGAGCAGAAGCGGCAGUUACAAGAGAAGAAGCAGCCCGACCCGACCUAAACAAUAGCUCUUAUCUUUCUUCCCCGAACCGACCUAAACAAUAGCUCUUAUCUUUCUUCCCCGAACCGACCUCUGCUCUGUCAACAAACACUUCCUCUCCUAUGGCUACAAAGACAGAUGCAACAGGACCAUUGCAACAGGACCCGAACACAGGACUUGGUGACAGAUGAUACCUUACCCACCAGGUGCUCUUUCUACAAAUACGGAUUCCACAGGACUACCACUUUCUACUGGCUCUGCUCUGUCAACUCAUUCAGUAAUUCCCACUUCUGAGGUUGUCUCUGACUUCCGACUUCCUCGAAUAGUCUCUGUGAACUCAGGCUCUACCGCGCUACUACCUUAGUCGUACUUACUUGCUUCAUUAAGACCUCUGGGUACAACUAUGACUUGGUUCCAUUCUUACCUUGCAACGGGAUAGGAUAGGAUAGGACUGAACUUAGGAUGAAACUCAGUAUUCCACUAAUUCCCGUUUUUAGCUCGCUACCGCUACACAUUAGCAGUUCCUUGGUGCACUUAUCUCUUUCGAAACUAAAUCCUAUAUGAGAGAAUAUAUAAUUAAGUAGGCUUUCCUCUACUUUGUCUGUACUGAAAAGGGCCAAGCAACUUCUAAUGACCGCCAAGGCACUGGGCAAGUAACUACUAACGUUACGCGGCAGCAAUAAGAAGUAUGUUAUGACGUAGUUAUAACAAUUCCUUUGUUCGGGUGCCGCGGCAGGAGCUCUUGGACUAAUGUUACGCGGUAGCGAGUUCCAAGCGGCAGCCUUCGAGUUGUUUUCUGCUUUUUUUUCAUAUUUCUCAUUGAUUGUUUUUGCAAUACCCGACCCGACCUCUAAUCUCAUGUUUGAGCACCUGACCCGACAGCAGCUUACUUAAGCCCUUCCCUACUUUCAAACUGACACUCUUUUCUUGUAUCCUUGCUUAUUAGCUAGUAGGGCCUGCCUUGCCUAUCCGUACUCUUAGCUGGUAACUCCCGCCUUCUAGUGUUUAGCUACUGAUUCGGAUUCUUUAACCGGGACAUCCUUCUUACCAUUGACAUAUAACAUUAUGAGCCUACCCUCGCUAUUAGGAUCCAGCUAGCGCUAACAAUCCUUAUCCAACCAACCUGGGCUGCUUCACUGCCCCGGAAACAACUCUUGCUUGACUUUAUCUCCACCUUUGUCCUCUUGCUUUCAUUCCGUACAUCGAGUUGGAUUUUGACUAUUGGUGCUUUUAGUACGACUUUUGGUAUUCUGUUUACUUAUAUUUACUCUUCUAUGUUACUUAUGUGUUUUCAUAACACUGCUAAUGAGGCUUAGGGCAUACAAGGACAGAGCUAUUGCUGGAAAGAAUCAAACAAGUAAGUCCAAGAAUCAAAGCAGUAAGUCCAAGGCUACAGCUACAUUCCCAAAGACUUCAACCGGGUAGCCAAAGAGCGGAGCUGCUAAGUGAUAGACUGAAACAAGUGAGUUACAGAACCAAACCACUGCCGUUUAGCUCGCUACCGUUUUAGCUCAGGCUCCUCCGCGCCACGUUAGUAGUGGCUUGGUCAUGAGUAGUUGCUUGGUGGCUAUCCGACCUCUCCUCUUGAAACUGCCAAGCUACUACUUAGUGCUUAGUUGGAGGCUUGUCUCCUUUAUUACCAAGUCCUGUGUUCGUGAGCUAGCUAGUUAUUUGAGAAUUGAAAACAUAGCUAUUGAGUUUAGGUCUUGGUACUGAGAUAAGAUACUCUGGAUAAGGUUCAGAAGCAGAAGACUAAGUUGCAAAGAAAGGUGUUGUCGGUGAAGAAAGUGUAGUUGAGUGCUAAAGUAUAGAGUAAGGGGAGCUGUACCCGGAAUAGUAGAAUCCAUGUGUUAACUGCCUUUGAUGCGAGGUAGCUUCUAGCUAUAGUUUAGGAGUGGAGUAAGAGUGCCCACGCCUUUGUCUUGCAUGCAAGUGCUUUAAAUAGCUUGCUUCUAACACGGUCCUAUGUCCUUAUUGAAUUUAGUAGUACUGGCUUUGAAGCCCUAAGUGGUAUAUUGGUUCACUUGUAUAUAAUGUUACGCGGCAGUGAGCUUUUUGAAUGUCAUUUCCACUAUGAAACUAUACACACACUUAAGAAACCCUUACUCAUUAUAUAUUCUCUUUAGAAAGGAAAGGAUAACUGCUUCAUCUCGGCACCCCGACCCCUAAUAGAUUGAUUCGAUAGACCCCUUCUUCUUCAGAAGAAUCAAAAGAAUAAGAUGGAUCCGGUGUGGUCCAAGCAGAAAAGUAGUUCGAUUUCUCAUAUACUAACUCAGUACUAGUUAAGUAGCAAAAAACAUAGGAGAAUUUUCUCUCUCUUUAUAUAUGAAACCACUUCAGAAAGGAGAGUUGACAGUUGAGGUCUGUUAUUCAAGUCUAGUUCAAUUGUUUAGUCAGUGUAGCGGCAGGAGUCCCCGCACAAAGAUCAGAUAAAUGGGUCGGUCUAUUAGCGAAACACUUAGCUGGUUCUCUUGCCCAGUUACUUGGCGCUAUAUAAAUUCUAUCUGUUCUUAUAUAGGAGGAUGUGACCUGGCAAUCUGAAUGCAGUUAUAGGAGCAGAGUCAGAAGAGACCAGGCAGACAGGUUAUAAGUAGGUAGUCAGCUAAAAGCACUAGGUAGGCGAGAGGGAGAGUUAGUUCGGGUGUGAAGUCCAAUAACAUCCCUAUUCUCAGUACAAAAUAACAUCCCUAUUCUCUGUACCCCUAUUAGUAUUGACUGAGUUCAUGGUCGCUCUAAGACUGAGUUACUGGCCCACUCUACUCGAUGUGUUUGUGUCUCGCAUGUGUGUUGUGUGCCAUACUAGGGUUUGGUUUCAAUCAAUGGGUUUGUUGUGUGCCAGUAGGGGGUGCCUAUACUUACAAGUCAGAAUGAAACUAUUUAAUAGUAAAUACAGAAACAACUCCAAAAAGUAAUAGAAUGAAACAAAGUAGCCAAAGAGCGGAACUAGUGGGUAUAAGCUUCAAGCCAGGGGGCAGCUAGUAAGUAAAGGAAUGGAAGCAGUAGCUGGGAGAUAGAGCCAAGCCAGAGUGAAAAGACUAAGAGAAUGAGUUGGCGUGGGAAAGAAUGGAAUUUGCAGGGUUGAGAUAAGAUCUGAUGCUGCCGAGUGGGGGUUAUCCACUCCUAAUAGCUAGACACACUCUCUUUUCAGAAGCACCAAAAGAAACUCCCCUUUAUGAAUCGACUGACGACUUAAUAUAAGGGCAGCUCUCCCCCCAAAGGUUAGGCACGCUUACCAGGCACCAGUUGAUCUUACGAAAGAUCCAAUUAGGUUUUGACUCAUUGCUUCACACAAGUCAACCUUUCAUUCCUGAUAUAUAUGAAAAAGAUAGAGAUUCGGCAGCAUAGGUUCUACUACUUGCUUAAUUGACUACAAGUUAUCUAUUGACUAAUUGCUUCACACAUGGGUUAUACUACGGAGUGAAAUCAGUAGUUGAGAGUUUAGGCAGUAGAUCCCCUUAAGAGUUGAAUCCUUGUUUGUUGACGUUGAAUGCCCAGUUCCUGUUCUGGUGAUUGUUAAAUACCUUGUUUCAUAUCUAUAGCUUCAUCUGUUCUCUUAUAUAAGUCAGUUAGUGCUUAAGAAUCGGGAAUAGAAGAGAAGAGAAGUUUUAUAAGUAGCUGGGCCCUAGCUGCCCUGGUUAAGUCUAGUAGGGGCUUGGCUGUUGCAUCUAACACUAAGAUCAGAAUUGACCUCAGCAGUGCCUUAUUAGAAUUUCUUCAAGCAGUGCUAGUAAGCCUACCAAUCAGCAGUUACAGAAUUGCACUCCUUCUUUUGAGUCCUGUGUUCGGGGACCCAUGUGUUUCGUUAAAGAAUUCAUUUGAUCUAUCUCUCGCCUGACAAGGAACUACUGGGUCGAUAGAGUGGAAAGGAAAGUUCAAGUUGUUGACGACGAGCGGUGCGGGUGUCAAUUCCAAUAAUGAAUAUAUCAUAAUAAUAGAUGUGGUUUCAGACAAAAGUCAAAGGAGUGGUUAGUUGAAAGAGCAAGAUCAGAGGGAUAGGGGCAAGGCAAGUAGUAAAGGUAUCAACUCUAUGAUAUCAAGUACUUAAGGUAUUAAUUCUCCGAGUGGAUGCCCCAGUUGCAUUCUUGCCCUUACGUAUAUUACUGUCUGCGAGUUGCCAGUUUCCAUAGGUAGAAGAGAUGCUCUAGUCCAGAGGAUAGAUAGGGAAGGAAAUCAAUCAAUAAAUCAAUCCGAGGAAUGGAACUCCCCGAACUGCUGCCGCUACACAGUAGUAGUUCCUUGGCCCGCAUCUAGUAUACGCUUGCUUUCUUAUCUUUAGGAGUCCUGUGCCACUUAUAUAUCUGCCACUUUCGAGCAACACCACCUAGGGCUGCUAAUUCUCUUGUAGGCUUGAUUGGCGGGUUUAGUCUGAAGUUGCUAAGUAGUAGGCUUGGCGGGUAGAGCAGCCUUUUUUCACUCCUAUACGAGUGCUCCUAUACGAGUGGUCGGCUUUUCGCCCUUAUAUUAAGUGCUUGGCAGAAAAUCAAUGACGAGUGGUCGGCUUUUCUACUUACUUGGCAGAAAAUCAAUGAUCAAAUUCGAAAGAAAUGCAAAAAACACGAAAGAGCCAAGCAACUAAGUAAGACGGCCAAGUCACUGCUAGGUUAAUGCUUUACGGAACAAGCAACAACAUCAGCAGUAGAAAGGUGUUCUGUUCGGGUUGAAAGAUCAGGAUCCUUAUAAGAAGUCGCAGAAAGAUCAGGUAAAGCUGUAAUCGACGAAGCGGGAUAGGAAAGUAACGUUUGAGCGGAAUCAUAUCUCACUUUGACUUACUUUGAAGCAUAAGCUGUAUCAUAAGUAGUAAAAGGGAAGGAAGCUGGAUAAGGGUUAGGAAGAAAUUGAUGUUUGACUCGGUCCUCGGCGCACUACAGGAAAGAUUCCUUAGUUUGCUGGGAUUCGCUUACAUAGGUACUUCUCGAUAUUAGGAAGGGGAAUCCAUUUCUUUUAAGGAAGUACUAAACUCGUGUACGGGAAUCGAAGUGAUUAGAACAGAACAGAGCGCGAAUGAAGAAGCACAGACGCUAUUCGUGGACAGAACAACGGGGAAAGAUGGAGGAAUGGUUUACCGACUGUAUCCUUUACAUUCAUUUAUUGCAUACCGUCUUGCUCCUGUUUACCUUACUAUUAGCUGUACAUCUGUUAGCUUUCCUUCUUUCCGAAUGGUUUAUAGUGCAAUUCCCUGCUAUGCUCAAUCAUAGGUUUUUACGAAAUAGUUGUCUGUCUUUUCCUGUACUUAGGUUUAUACGAAAUUCCAUAGUUGUCUUUUUUUCCUGUACGCCGAUGACUUUUUAAUGAAGAAGGGGGCCUGGCCUUGACUACUAUUAAAUGAGGAAGGGCUUGACUACUAUUUCAUAAAGAAAAGGGGGACUGUUCACAUAUUCUACUGGUUUAGCUUACUCACGACUUGAAGAAUGAAUAUCGGAGCCUCACCUCUGAUCGCAUCACCCUUUCACAUAAAGAAUUCCAAUCAUGCGUAUCAAGCACUUGGCAUCGCCAGUAGUAAAGACACUGCACUGAACAAGUGCCUUUCUUUGAAAUCUGACCGGCACUGAUUCUGAUCCCGCUUAUGGAACAAGUAUUGAAACGGACCUUACCGCGGACUUUCGCACUGCAGAUUAUAUACUUGAAAGAACGAAUUGAUGCUGCCCGAGUUGUUUCAUUGAGUGCACUGAUCAUAUAAAGAAGUCACAGCACUCCUUACAUUAAGAACAGAACAAAUAGGCCCGAACUGAUUCACUUUCUUACCCUUAAGCAACACAGUAACCUCCUUUUCCAUUACUUGUUUAUGGCUUAGAGCCAACAACACCCUUUCUGUUAGCGGGUGAAACCUCGGAUUCCUCUUCCGCUAGAAUGACUUUCUAUAUAGAAAUACCCCUAUUCCCUUCUUGUAAAGUCAACUAAUCAUUCAUUGAAUCUAGAGUUUCGAGCACUUUGCAUAGAAGCUAGUAUCGACACUGAGAAAGUGCUUUCUUCGUUGGGAGCUGCACCUCUAAGCUCUAAAACGGGUUCUGCUCCAUCAGUAGACUCUAAUGUUCUCUCUGCUGACUCUAAAGAAUAUGCACCUCAUAUGAUAGAAAUGGGUAAACUAACUCCAUUACUUCCCGGAAGUGUGAGAAUACCGGCACCCCCAAGAGAAGAGAUCAAGUUGAAGCGUUAGCACCCGACCCUAUUGCUCCCUUACUAGAUUGCUCAUGGAAAGUGGAUCAAGAGAAGCGGUUUCGUCUAAAGGAAGGUGGUGUCCAAGCCUAAUACUAUAAAUAAGGGGUGAAAGCUCCUUACGUGGUCCAAGCAAGCUGAACUAAUUAACACACACACAACCACCUCCUGGCUCAUAACUCUAACACACACCCAUCUCCUCUCCUGGCUCUAAACUAAACCUUCUCUUUUGCCUUCCGUCCCAACUCUAUAAAUGUGCUAAGUACAGUACAGAAUACAAGUGGAGCUAGAGCAAACAUGUAUUUCUUAUUUCAAAGCUCCGAGCCCCGCCCGAACCAAUAAAUAGCGUUAGUAGUCACUCUGCAUCUGUCUUUAGAGUAUGGGGUUCCUCUGCCUUUCGUGAGUAAUCUAUAAUAUAGGAUGAACUAGUGGAGUUAUUAAGCAAAGCCCUUUGUUGACUCUUUUCUCACAUUUGUGACUCGGAUCUAUACUAUCAAGCUAAAUGAAAAUGAAUGGACCAAGCAGACGCCAAGUAACGUAGUUAGGCUAAAACUCAUAAUGUUAGUUAGUUCGGUGCCCUUAUGGAGUCCACCAAGCUUAGUAUAGACAAGUAACGUAGUUAGGCCAAACAACUAUGCAAGAUGACAGCUCGCUUAUAAUAGUACUUAAAGCGAUCGAUGAGCUAAACAGAGGAUCCCUAGUUGCUACGAAACAUAACAGGAACAUUACUAAUACUGAAAGACUUCAAUCGAUGAACUCCUUGCUGCAUCGAUGCUCGAGGAAGGAAGAGCGGGAUGAGUGCCAACUAAAACGACUAAUGCUAAUGGAAGCCACUUUCUUGCUCCUGCAACUCUCGAACUAGAGGAAGGAAAGCGCUAUACCCACCCUCGUUCGAGGAAUAGCAUAUCAGGUUCGUUUGGGAAAUCGGGAUUAUCGGGGAGCUUACCUGAUAGGGGAUUCGAUUCAUAUCUAUCACUGACUUCAGACCAACUCGCCGCUAUUCCUAAAGUGUUUGUUAAAGCAGAUCAGGGAAUACUCAAGUAUUUGGAUGAAUGAAUUGAGGUAUGUCUCGAAGUUUGACUGUUUGACACUCUCUCUUUCGAUGUCUUCGAUUCCGUAACCAUUCCAUAAUAAUUGGGUAAGCUGCGGAGGUUUUUUGUAGUAGUAUCCCGAAAUCUCUCGAUAAGAAUUCGGUGCUAUUCGUCUGUCUAUAAAGAGUGGAUCAUGGCCAAAUGAGCAGCAUCAAAGCAUUAAAACGAAGGAAUAAGGAGUCCCCGUCCAACGGAGCACUAAGAAGCAAGUCCUCCUGAGAUGGUAUGCUAAGUAGUAGGUUUAAUAUAUUCAAGUGUGCCGCUACUUUCUCUUAAGGUUCAGAACACGAACAGAAUCUCGACAUCAAUUAGAUCAACAAAACCAAACCAUUGCCUGACGUGAACAGAUGCUUUCUCAUUAUACUGUUAAUACCAUAGAUAUCUUCUUUGUUCUCAAGCGAAUCCUAACUCUUUUCGCAGCUUUCUUUUCUUCUCUUAUUCCAUUUAUUGUUUGUGAUCGAGGGCGGUACACUUUUCCCCAAUAUGAGAGAGUUUUGCAGCUAUAGUCAGAAUGGCAACAGGGCCAGCAGCAUAGGCGAUGAGGGGAACGAACGGAAAGGCAGGCCCACUUGGAUUCGAGGUUUUUCCUUUACACGGGCAUACCCUUUCCUCUACACCGAAAUGAGUUUCCUCUACACCGAAAUGAGUUUCAUGCUAACACAGCAGCGCUGAACUCGUUUUUGCACCUCUAAAUAAUAGCUAUCAACUUCCAGGCCCCGUCUGCUUUCGGCCCGAACCCCAAGCCGGUGAAGUAUUGCCAGAGCCAAGGGAAUGGUCUUUUCUUAUAGAAAGUCUACGUUGGGCUAAAUCCUUUUAUAGACGAUCGUACUUCCUUAUGUGCUAAGAUAUCUUUUUGCGCAGAAUGAAGUGUUACCCAAGCCCCCGAUCCAGAUAUAGAAAGUGUGCCGGAGAAAAGUUCGAAUAAGAGAGGAGUUAGAAUCUGAUUUCUCUCUCUCGGCUUCAGCUGCCUUAUCAUAGGCUAUGGGCCGAAUCGUCUUAUUCCAAUCCCAUAAGGAAAAAAGAGCCGAAUCAUCCAUCUUCCGUUAAGCUUCAAGUACUAGUGCGGAUAUCAAUGUCUUCAUCUCAAGCUUUUUGGGUUGUGGUGGGAUAGAAUCAGAUUAUUAAGUAAGUACCCGAUUCCGGGGAAUAAGGUUGUGCCAGAAUAUAGCUACCCGAUUCAUGAACAGAUGCAUUCUAUACUUAAUGAUAAGAUCUUGCAGAUGCAUUCUAUACUUAAUGAUAAGAUCUAUCUGGUACGCUGAGGGGUUCCCAUGAAGAAUCAGAGCUAAAGUCAGUCCUAUGUCCUAGCAUCGGGCGGGAAAGAAAGCCCUUACUAUGCAAGCACUGUGCCCAGCGUUUAUGAAUCUUCUAUCAGGUUGGAUUUCGACCCUUAUGAACCUGGCACCUCUCUUACAUAAAGCAAUAAAGCAGAAGCUAAGGAAAAGGAAUUGGAUGGUAUUACUCUAUCGUUGGGCCUACUCCAUUUCAAAGGUUAGUGUGCGUAGAGAUUACUUCUGUCAAUAGGCAACUGCAACUCAUGAAUAUAAUCAACCUCACUCCAGUAGACGUCGUAGUUUAGGACAUAGCUACGAGAGAAAAGAAAUAGGACCUUGCGUCUUUACCUGCAAAUGAGGCCCAAGUUCAAUCCGAAUAAGCAGUGAAUUGGCUUUCUCUCUUGAUCGUAGAUAUUGAUGUGUAAGGUAGUUACAGGCCGAAGACAACUACAAUAAGAAACAACAUCAAGUAUAUUUAUGUUGAGCUAUGCCUUAAGAUGUGUUCAGGCGCGGCAGCGAGUUUUAAGCUGCGCGGCCCCUCACAUUCAUUUGGUGCCUUGACUGCCUAGCCCUAUUCUCUGAUAGUUCAAGCUGAGAUAGUGGAAUUAGAUGUCAUGUCAGUUCCUAUAGCAGACGCCUUCUUCCCAAACCCCUUCUUUUCCUCUUAUUCUAUGUUCUUUUCUUGCCUUAGAUCAAUCCCUUCUGCACUUUGUCCUAAAAUGCAUAUUCUCAAGCAGGGGAUUCGUUAAUAGUAAGAGCGCAUUCCUUGUCCCAUUCAAUGCAAUACUUUACUCUUUUCUUCAAGGUUUUGCUUGUAUUUUCAUAGAGUAAGUGUAGUAAUCACUCUAUAGUAAAGGCACUCGAUUAGCUGGCAAAAGCGCUCUUCUUUCCUUGUGAUUUGAUAUAACUCGGUCGAACUAAAUGCUAUUCUUUUGUGCCAAAUGUGGUAAACUCGUGGUAUCGUAUAUAAAGAACGGUUCAAUUCUGGAGUUUUAGGAGUGGCUCGAUCAAACUCUCAAUUUCAGAAGCCAAUUCUUUGGAAGUUGUGAAAGGGCAGAGUUCCAUAUUGACAUUUACUGCGAUAAUGUUGCAAGGGCGUUCGGGUGGAGUUAAAGCGAAAGGAUAUCAAGAGAGUUAUUAGUGGUAUUAUGAAACGUAAACUAACUAAGUACAUGAUAAGCUUGAAUCUUCCUACUCUUGUUAGUGGGGACAGAGCAUCCUAUUGAUUAUCGUCUCGAGCUCCCCCUUUCCGGGUGGACGAGCCGAGUUCGAAAUCACCUCAUCGGAACCCCACUUUAACUCUUCGCUGGUUUGAGAUCUACUUCGUUAGUACCAGUCGGGAAUCGGGAAACCUCAUGAGCGGUACACCUUCCUUAUAAGAAAGAGAUAAGACCUAUUACUCUUGUCCCUUGCUGUGGGACUAGGAGCAGCUAUUGCUAUGUCAUCCCCAACUGUUAGCUCAGUUAGCGCAAAGGGAAUGAAAGCAGUAACUUCCUGAGUUAGCUCUUAAGAUGUUGAAGGAACAAGCUUAGCAGUUAGCUCCGCUCGUGGCAUAGCUCUGAGUAGUAGUAGCGAUCGGUCGCCGUUCACGACUCCGAUGUUAUCGGGUGCAGAUGAACAAGCGGUGUGAUCUUUUCCAAUGAAUACCAGACGAGGAGUCAAUUAUUGUUGAGUGAAAUGACAUGGCACGGAUCUGUUUAAGAUUCAACAAAUAAGAAGCUGGCUCUUGACCUUAUUCCAUAUGCCAUGGUAUCAGCCGUCGGUGGUUUACUAAGUAUUAGCCCUUUCACAAGGGAAUUCUCUUUCUGAAAGAACUCCGAGUGAAGGUGGCUGCUUUGCUUCUCGCCGGGACGGAUUUGACCUUUCAACCAAAAAGGAUUGGAUGCUAUUUCUUCUUUCCGGGCUUCAGCCAGUAGCACUUGUCAAGCUGUAAAGAAAGGGGAGGAAGUAGCAUUUUCCCGGACUUCCAAUCCAAAAGAAGAAGGACCAGGCCCCAAAAUGAUGUAGCCCAAGGAGACGAAUAGUCCAGAAAGGAAAGGCUAUUGGCUCAUUGACUUCCGGUUUACGAUUCAAUUAGUCUCUUUCAUUUUGAGCGAAGAACUAUUAACCAUGCAAGGAAUAGCUAGCUAAAGUAUACAAGGCAAUCCUCAAAGACAGCGGUUGACCUUAAAGAGUUGUCAAGGGCUGGUUACUCUCUUUUCGACUUUUUAAGGAAUGGUUUCCGCUCGAGUCGCUAAGGGCUUUAGCGGGUUCGGGUUACUUUCUUUCUAGUAGUCCUGCCCGGAAGUCCAUUUUCCCUGCCUAGCAACAAAAACAAAGGAAUUGCUGAAACUUGUAUAGUUGCUUGGAGGGCAAUGAACUACUUUCCCGCUGACUUCAUACUAAUACUUUCGCCGCGAAGUCUGUGCUUUGCACUCUUCCUAGAAUAGCUCAAUUCCCUGUUGGUAUUCUAGUAAGUGGUAGUUGGGUUCCGAGUGGUUUUCUUCAGUAUUGCUACCGGUGGCUGGAUCCCUAUAGGGUGGUUAAGUAUUAGAAGUGGCUGUUGGGUCCCCAGUUUCAAGUUCCAGUUUCGUUGGUAUGAGUUUAAUGGCAAGUAGCCUAAUUCUUCCUUUAUAGGUUCUUUCUUAUGAGUUUGCUUAUUAGUUUGAUUCCCGAGUUCAAUUCACUGUUUCCAUUGUAAAUAUGUAUUCUUUGGUUCAUUCUUCCCAGUAGCCGUUCCAGUCUUUCUUUUGCUAGUCUCAAUUACAAGUUUCGAAUUCCAUUCUAUAAGAGUAGGUGGGGCCCCUUUAGUGAUAGAGAAUGACUGUAGUGAUAGAGAAUGACUGUAGUGAUAGAGCACCUUGCAAUCGAGAAUAAGUGCUAAGUAAUAGAAUCGUAGGGUCCAAAAAAGAAAUAGAAUCAUUUGUGAAAAAGUCAGUUUCGGGGCACCUCUUCAGGGAACCUCGCAUCAAAGCAAGAGUCAUAGUCAGAAAAUAGUAAUAAUAAUCAAAGUAGUACGCCCAGAGUCCUAUAGUUGUCGGGCCUCUCUGAUUCUUUCCUCUUAUCUGUUUGUUCGUGAAGUCACUUCGUUCAUAUCAAUGGUUGUUGUGCUAGGGUAGGGCUAGGCUAGCAUCGUUCGUAUCAAUGUGGCCAGAGCUAGAGGUUGGGCAAGCUGAUAGACGAGGUCGUGCAAGCUGAUAGACGAGGUCGUGCAAGCUGAUAGACUCAAAUCAAUCCCUGUUCGCUCAAGCUUAUAGACUCAAAUCCAUCGAGGUCAGGCAAGCUUAUAGACUUCAAUCAAUGCCUGUGCGAUCCUAUUUCGUUAAUCAAUCCCUGUUCGACUUGCCUCUGUAUUGGUUUACUUGACAGCUUUUCCUCUUGGGGCGUUAUUUACUUAUUAUUGGUGUCCAUUUACUGAUAUUUAGAAUAAGAUCUAGCGCAUACAAGCAAUAGAAUACAACUAAGACUAACAAUACUUGAACUGGGAACUAAGAAGCAAAGGAAAAAGUAGCACACUUGAACUCGAAACGGCUACCCUACCCGCGUACCGAGCCACAUUGCAGGAAUUAGCUCACUAUUACAAUAAACGAUUUCAAGAUCUAGGAGUUGUCUUCUCUCUAUCACUCCUUUGGAGGAAAGACCGGUCAUUCUCUAACGCGAGACAGAAAGCAAAUACUUGAACAAAGAAGGUUGGCAGCGAGUCAACAUAUAGGUUAAGGAAUGCUAUUAAGACUCUAUUUAGCUACAGCCCUUAUGGAGCUCCAUUAAGCCAAGCAAGAAGCCAAUUGCGGCCAGUAAGUAUAGUAGCGCGGCUAGCUCAAUAGCUGAUAGAGAUGCAGCCUCAGAAGCAGAAAGAAAGAUAAAGAGACUAAAGGAUGAAAAGCAAGGACCAGGAAACCAAGAAAGAAACCAAAAGAAUAAUAGGCUUGUCAGUAGCUCGCUAAGUCAUUUGCCCUAGAGCCCUAGAUCCUAUUUUCCAUUAGAUUCUUUAGUGGGCAUUCCUCUUAGUAAAAGGGAGAAGAAAGGGGACAGACCUUAUGCUCCAUCCCCCUAUUAACAGACAGACCCACUCCUCCUUAUGCUCCAUCUCCUAAUUAAUAGUAGACUUGUGGUGCAAUUGCUAAUCAGUGGCUUCUAAGAAAACUAGAGAAUUGAGCCUACCCAUCGCCUCUGAUAUUGAAGCUUUAUUACUGGGCAAGCAGCUCCACUCCCAAUGGCAGGCCUCCCUGAUGACUUGUAGUUCUCAACUGGGCUCUCAGGAGAUCGAUUCCCUUCCGAGCCAAUGCAGAUUGGUGCAGAUAGGCGAAUAGAGUCCACGACGCUUUAUUCAGCCUUUUCGAAAAUCCCCACGUAAGUCCACUUUUGGCCCCACGUAAGUCAACUUUGGGCGAGAUCCACUUACUCUUCUCGGUCUCGGAGAAUGCUUGACAAAUUCUAUGGAAAUUGAAAAAGUAUCUUUGAAACGGAAAUAAAGACUGCUAGUCAUUACGCCUAGAGGCUACGGCUGUCAGUAGAAUCUGUGACCUUCAGGAAUCCAAUAAAAUGAACUGUCAUUCUCCUCUGGCUAUUCAUUCCUUUAUUAGCUUAGCUAGCGUUCUUCCACUUUAUUCCCUAAAUAAGCUCUUUUCAAACAUAAUAUGGGAUUCUUUAGGAACCGGGGUUGAAAACUUAGCCGGGACAUUGAGUCUACAAUCUUAUAUUAUAUAUCUAACACAAGCACCGAACAAGCAACUGACCAACCUUAUCCGAUUAUUCUGUUAUGAUAUAGUAUUUGGUCUUAGUGGCUCAUAGGCAGAAAAGGAAGUACUACUUCUAAUGUUAAGGUAAGUGUCUUGUCUUGCUAUCAGUUGUUUCAGUCACCAAGUAACUACUAAUGUUACGACCAAGCAACGGGAUGAGCUACGUAGUAGCGAAUGAAAAAGCGAGACGGCCAAGACACUACUAAUGUGUUGCGGCAGCCCAAUAAUAGUUAUAGGAAGUUAUAAACAAGUCUUGUGUUCAGGUAGCAACAAUAAUAGAUAUUACGAGUUAUUACAAUAGAUGUAUUCUGGAGCUGCUGGUUAGCUCGAUUCUCAGUUUGAUUCUUGGACUUACUAGUAGGAUUCUUUGACUACAGGAGUAGCUGUUUUAUACAAUCUUAACAUAGGCUUUCCUACAGAUUCAAAUGCUCCCACACCAGUAACCAACAAAGCUUCCGCCUUCGCUAGCGUUUUCCUUUCCAUCGUUAAGGUAUCUGUCUUACCUUGCAAAACCUCAGUCCUUAUCCGGUCAAGGUUCUAUGUCAUUUACUUUCAAACAUCACUUCUAUCUUUUCCUCACCAGCAGAGGUUAUCGAAUACCGGGUAAAGGUUCAUCGCAAUUAGGAGCAAUAACUCUUAUACAAAGUGCAACUCUUUGACGGCUGUAUUAGUCCCGUACUUCCUUCAGGGAGGUAUAACAUGAGAUUCUUGCUUUUCUCUCCUCGGGAAAGGAGCGGGUAGCCACUAAUUCGAUUAGGGCCAGCUGCUCCACAGCCUAAGGAAGUAACUAUUUCCCUACUAGCAGUGACUAGCCUUUUUUUGAAGGACGGACAGGACGGUUUCAGGCCUAAGAACGGUUUCAGACCAAGAGUGAGAAGGAGAAUUCCCGAGAAAGCGGCAUUCCUCCAAUGUGCAGUUCUUUUCUUGGUAAAGGCAAGGCUCGAGAGACCUCGAGUUAAUUCAAUGGCCCUUCCUAGGACACAAAGGCGGACUCCCUAGCAAGUCUCUUCUCUGUCUUUACCAGAACCAUCAGAGGAAAAUCCAUUACGCUUACGGUCUAUGAGAAAAGAAUCCUGCCAUCACUCUUAAGACCUAUGUUUUAGGCUAAACAACUAAGAAAGCAAGCAUUGAAGGACGCUCACCGAGUGCUUCUAUAAAAGGAAGCUAUCGAGAGGGAAAGAGAGGAAAGGAAAAAAAGCAAUGACAUUCAUCCCGCUUUGAUUUCGAGAUGGUAGUGAGGAAGGCUCGAUGUCAUUUAGUCUUUCGAUGUAGUUUCAAGUCAUCUAGUUGGGCGUUUUCGGUCCAGAGGUAAACCCAACAAAGGCGCUCUGUCCUAAGAGUUUUAGAUCCAGUUACUGUGGAAGAUCUGGCAUAACCUGAAGAAUUGCCUAUCCCUAGAAGAAAGAAGUCAAAUUGUGGACUAGGCAUAAGCGGUGGUUGCAUACCCCAUUGGAGUCUUGACCUACCCCGAAAACCCUAAUAAAAAGCUUACCAAGUUUGGGUCUUCUCUAGUAUGAGUGCAAGCCCCCAUCCAAAAAGAAAGCAGAGAAAUGCAGAAGUGACGUCCAAGCCCGUGGUCGUAAUGCCGCCUCCACGCAAGCCCUCGUGAACCGACCUCGUCCGCUCGGAAGGACACAAGCGCUUAAUCAAAAGAAUCCACUCUCGGUAACAUGAUCGAAGUUCGAUCCACCACUUUAGGGAAAGAGACGAGCUUAUAUAUUCAAUAUUAGCAAACUGCCUUUCAACAUAGGAGGAAUCACUCACGGACAGACAAGAGACAAUAGGUCGACAACUUUAAGCUAACCCUACCUUGCAGUCGUAUCGAAUGGGGGGCUUUUCUCGUUUUUUUCAUCAAUAAUUUUGUAUUUCUCUUUUUUGCACUCUUUCUUUUUUCUUGAAAUUCUCCUCUUCACUCUUGCCAACCAUCUUUCGAACGAUUGAGAGUAGGUCUAGCUGUUAUGAAGGGUCUUAGAGGUUACUUUAUUCACCCUCUUAAGAUCCGAAAUAUCUAAGCAAGUCAGUCUUUGUUCAACAGAACUGACACGGGCCCUGCUACUAAUAAUAUGAUAUAGGAUUGCGCACGUGUACCUUACUCUCAGAGUCCAAAAACAUAAGAUUUCUAUAAUAAGACAGCAGGGGGGAAUAACCCGGUCCAAUAGAAACAAUCUUUCCCCAGCCAGACUGAGUUCUUCCAAUAGCGCAUAUCAUGCUUUCUCGUCGAAGAUAACUUCAUCAUUUGCUCUAGUCUAAAUCAAAACUUCAUUGAAGAAUCUAGAAAAUGCUAUCCCAGUAAACCCUUGGGGAAACUAACAAUCGAGGAUGCCCAUGUUGACUAUAUUGAAUAAUACCCUAGUGAUUUAACCCACUGGUGGCAUACCCCAAAAGCGGAUAUAAGACCCAUUCUUUCCAUCAUCAUCAAUGAUAGGGAAAAUAAGAAAGUCAAGAUGAAAUUAGUUUCGAAACGGAACCAUCUACAACAUCAGGCAGAACCCUCUCUUAAGGCUUAACCUUAUCGGCAAUAAGACUGAUUGGAAUAAUCCUUAAUGAAAGUGAUUACUAUUUCUGCUUUCGCGGCGUCUGAAAGUCUUUGAAAGGGUGCUUUUGUUGCGGUAUCUGGAAGCUCUGCGUCGGUUAAAUGGUUCAAUUGUCUUUCUACUUUCAUCGAGAAGCUCUUUUCUUUUAUCAUGCGAAUCUCUCUACUGCUAAGGUGGAGUCUAAACUGCGAUUGAAUGCUCAUAUAAACUGCGGAAGUAAAGUAGAAAGGUAUCUCGUAACGUUUCAAGUAUAGUAUCUGGUUGUUCAACCCCCGUCCACUCUAUCACUUACAGCCCGGUAACAACUCUAUCACUUACAGCCUCGGCGCCAUAAACAAGUGUUGUUGCAGCUGUCUGAAAGUGGAGUCUCUUUGGGUGCUGCUAACUUUAAUGAGAUUCCCUCUGGCGUCCUUGCUUGUGCGAAAGCGGUUAUUGCUUUUGGCCUAUGAUUGAACAAAUGAACCUAACAACACAGCGGACUCCCAACCUUAAUCCAGCAUAUCAGCAGUCGAACGCUUCACUAUGAGGACAGAGAGGCACCGCUAACAACGAGGACAGAGAGGCACCGAACACUAUUGACACUUUUUUCUUAGAAAAGAGAAGAGCCAAGCUACUAGGCAAGUCACUAAAGCUUCAUAUCUUGAUACUGUUCUCGAUCUUUCUACUGCUUCAACAAAUUCUUAAAGAAGAACUUCUGGCACAAUACUUUUCUCUGGAUCUGGAACUCGACUUGCAACUUUACCUUUAGUGGCGCAUUCGGCUUCUGACACAAUACUGGAAUCUGGGCCAAGUAACUACUUUUGUUAGCUUCCAAGCCUUAUUAUCUACCCUACUGGCCAAGCCCCUUAUUAUUGACUAUAUCGCUGCCCAAGCCUUACUUGUUUGUUUGCUGCCUCCAAGCCAUACUCUUUUGUUUGAACUUCCAAUGCCUAGGUUGUCUCUCACUGGCCGCUCUCUGACUCUUUGACUCCGCUCUCAAUGCCGAUGUUUUUGUAUUCCUUUCAGGGCUAUCAUUCUGUGACUACUAACAAAAAGUAUGCCACGACUCCAUAUAAGCACUACGCUCGUUAGCUACAUUACCUAUCUCUUAUCUAAACACUCACUCCUGUCUCUCAGAAAGUACCAAUUCAAAUGCUCCAUGGAGAACCCCCAGUUUCUUGUUUGUUCCCGUCCAACUCACCGGGAGAUCGAAGAGCGGUUUGCGCUUCGCGCCCCAACCCCCUGAACUAAUAGAUGCUUAGAUACCAGACGGAAUCUGGAAGCUAAGCUAAGGAUGGACGAGAACAGCUAAGAUAAGAAAAGAAGACAAACAGAGGUAGGAAGGUGGACUAACCUUAACCAGUCUAUUGCCUUCCCUUUCGACUUAUAGACUUGUUCGUCGGCGGGCAAUUUAGUAAGAAGAGCCAAGAUCCAAUUCGUAAAUAGCAGAUGAACCUAUCUUAAUAUUGAUUGAAGUUGCCGGCGAACUUGAAAGAGCUUUCUUUCCUCUCACUAAUAACCCCUAGAGCAAUAAACAACAUUAAGAAUUAGUGGUUGAUAUCCGCGAAUAUGUCUUCCUAGAAUCCUGAUGCCGAGAAUAGGCGGUGAAGGUAUAAGAUCUCAAAUCCCAUCAUGAGGCUUCGGUGAACAAGAGAAGAUCAAAUUGCUCCUCUUUCAGGAUUGCUUGUGGGGACUUUUCCCCAAGCUCCUUCUUGACUACUUGAUUGUAUACAUAAUUAUUAUGGUUCUGGUACAUUAACAUUAUCGUAGUUAUUCGAAAACAAAGGUACUUUAUUAGAGUGGAAAGAUCUUAUCUUUGUUUAUAGCAUAUGUUUGUCCGAAGGAGAAGGAAAGCAUAAGAAGGGCUAUUGGCACAGACAUGGAAAUGGCCGCGGUGGAAGCAGACGCAUCUUACGCUGCAGGCUUGAUCCCGACUCUCUCAAUAUGUGGGUAUACUCAUAUGAAUUUCCAUUUGCAUUCCACUACUCUAUUGUCUAGUAUCCUAAGAGACAUAUACUGCUGAUUCUGUUACUGCAACACGAGAACCUCUACCCUCUCCACUGAGUAUUAGUACUCACACAAGAACUUUACUUGCAUUGCUUAUAACAAGCACCCGACCCGAACUCCAUUUAAAGAACCAACACCAGGUCAGGUAGUUCUUUCCAAUUCUUGCUUUUGUAGGUCAAACUAACUUUAGCUAGACGAAGAAAGGACACUGACACUGGCCGACAAGGAGCUAGAGCCUUAAACACAAGCAUUCGAACGUGACUUUCCUGGACCACACCUCGCAUCAAAGCAUGUAAGAAAGUCUGCCCUAAACAAAACUUCCUUUCCCGUCUCGUAAGCGCACUGAGUCUUCUGUUUUGGGGCCUAUACUAGGACUUUUUUCUUGCACCGAGGAAGAGUCAAACAUCAAUCUUAAUUGUUAAUAUAUGUCAUAUAAAGAAAGUGGGAAUUUCAAUUGACGGAUGCUAUAUAAGUUAGGGAUUUCAUAACCUUUCCUUCUGCCUUCUGUUAGCGCUAGUACUUGUUUUAGGAGUUAAGGUAAGUAAGAUAGAUAUUCCUAUGUAUUGUAUAGGCUAUGUCUCCUACUCUAGGGCUCUCUUUGUAAAGUCAUAUAUAUAUAUAUAUUCCUAUUCAAACUAUGUAACUCCACUCUUAUACAAAUACUAUUCAUUCUAUGUAACUAAUGUAACUAAUCCUUGUGCCUAAUGCGCUAUAUCUAUCCCUAUGAAUUCUGAGUAACUAAUACUUACUUGUCUUAUACUAUCUUAUACUUACUUGUCUUAGUAGUACCCUAUUCUUAUACUAUAUUCUGACUUUCUAUUCUUACCCAAUUCAUAUACUACUUACUAUUCAUUUACUUACUUGCUAUAUUAUUACUAGAUCGUACCUUCUUCUUAGUAUACUUAUUCAUAUACUUACUAUUUCUUUCUUCUUCUACUCUAAUGCGCUAGCAAAUUCUGUAUUCUGGCCCGGUAGUUGAUCAUUCAAUUCUAUCUAUAGGAUUAUAGGGACUGUUCUACUUUCAAGAGGAGUUGACCCUAGGUUCAAGUUAGCAAACAGGGUAAUUGGCUCUGUGUUGGGAGUUCGGGCAAGAACAAGUGUGUCAGUGGCUAAAGCGUCAGUUCCAUCUUCUACUGCUAUCCGAUCUUAAGCUUCUGCGCUAAAAGGAGAAAGUCUUGAUUCAAUUCAUUCUGCCUAAUAAACUAGUGCAUCAGCAAAAGUGCAUUCUUUUCCUACAAGAUUCUCUUCAUGUGGAGAGUCAAACUCGGUAUAAGGGGAAGUUUCUCAGUGACUUUUAUCUAUUAGCAGGAGCAGGGGAAUAAACAAGGUCGGUCGGAGUGCCUAUCUUCAACAAGACUCAGUGCGGCAAAAGGUUAGUGUUUCCCUUUACUUUGCUUUGGAUAGAUCCUUAUUUUCUCUUUCUUUUGAGAAUAUACUCUUUCCUUGUUCGAGCGGCAAGGCCCGGAUCUGAUGGCUCCCUUUAAGUCCUCAAAGGUUUCUUUACAUUCUCUCGUCGAAUGCCAUGGUCUGUUCUUCUUCUGGAGAUUAGUCAAAGGCAAAGGCCCCACACGAAAAGCCUUGGAUGAACCUACGACCUGGCCAAGAAAAGAUCGGAACUUAUAUACCUUUUGGGGGGGAUGCCAUUCCUAUAUGGCCUUAACCUUAUCAUUGUCCAUGCAAAUGGUACCUCCCUUGAUCCGAUGUCCAAGGAACAAACAAGACUCUUAUGUUCCGGGCGAUGCGGACGGGCCCUUUGAUAACUAAAUGAAUUGGACUCCUAAUCACACUUACACGGUCGUGAGUAUGACUGCUAGCGUUGAUGCCCACAAUCGGAUGCUCAAGAAUAAGCCAAUAACAAUAGAAAGGGCAGGGACUUCUGAGACGCCUGUUUGAUAUAAGGGCGAGUUUGCAAGCUAAGGGCGAGACAGAUAUUUCAGAUGGGACUUUUCCCUUAUUCUGACUUCUUUGCACUAGUCUCAUGGCAAUAUCUCUUUAGCAUCCCGACAUUCCUUAUUGCCCUAACACAAGGCACAUAUUUGUAGCCUAUAAAAUCAAGGAAAGGAUGAGCUUUGGGGACAUUCCAGCUUUCCGGCUUUACUGCUUUAGUGCUUUACUGUUUGUUACACUUUCUUCAACUUACGAUUAGGGGAUCUCAAUAACACAGAAAUGUACUUCUCCAUUAGGGUCUUAUCCUUUAUCUAGAAAAUGGGAGAGUCUCAUAGGCAAUAGGUUAUGCUUUGGCGCUUUCUUUACUAGCCCUUAGAGCCUGUGGGAAUAGCUGUCAGCCUAUCACCUAUAAAGUCAAGAGUGCAUUUACCUAUUUAGAGUACCACUAUCAUUAGUAGAGGGAUCAGACUUAGCUAAAAGAGACAAAGGCUCGUAGGUAGUAGUAAAAGAAAAUGGUAUUCCAGAAGGGCAGGCUAACUGGCGGGAGCUUUAAGUUGUAAUCAAUAGAUAAGGGGAUUGAGAUCAGUAAGGGCAAGGCCUAUUUCCUUGUUUUAGGUGAAGUGUAACAGCAGUGAAAGUAUCGUACCCCGGAGUAGCUCCAUUCCAAUAGUAAGUAGCUCAAGAGCCUGUUGCCGGUAGCCCAAUCCCCCGUUUCGAGUUCAUUUCUUUAGUCCACACAAAGUGCAAAGCCUUAUUAGCAGUGAUUGCUGGUCUUGCUAGCACCAGUCCAAGUCCUCGAAGCUGUACCUUAUCUGGUAUGCCCAAUUUCCAUUCUUAUUGAGAGUAGCAAAAGCCCGAGUUCCAAGUAUAAAGGAUGAGAAGCACUAGCCUGGGAAUGAGAUAAAGCACUAGGAGGAUGCCAGGUAGGAGCGGUAGGGUAAAAGUAAGGAAAGGAGGGAUGUUAGGCAGUAGCCUGAGUUUUAUAGCUAAGAAAGAUGGGCUGAGUAGGCGAAGUAGGAGAGUUAAGGGGUCGUUUGGGCAUGUUAGACCCUCAGCUUUGAGUUGAAUUAUGUGUCUCCGUUUUCAAUCUUAUAGGAAUUACUUGCAUUCCCGGGUUCGAGUUCAAGUAUGAUUAUUACUAGAGCAAUUCUUUCCAUUAGCAGUCACACUCCUUUUAUUGGUAGUUGGCUUCCCUUUCUCUAGUUAAAGUAUUAGAAGCGAUAGUUACAUAAUGAAAUCAAAGAGAGGUAGGUUGAAAGAGGGGAACUAUAGACUCAUAGCUAGGGGAUGUAGGCUAGAAGAAAGUAAAACGGAGAUUCGAAUCGGCAGUGAAAGUAUUAGAAACAGUGGGGUCAGUCCAACCAGUAGUGGGCUUGAAGAAUAGUAUAUGUAGUUUAGUAAUGAGGUCAAGGAUGAGCAGGUCGAAGAGCGAGACCGGGAUAUUAAGUUGGUAAAGAAUUAGAAGCUGGCUGGGUAUUGGUAAGAAUCAGACAAGUAAAGAGAUCCCGAAGACAUAUAUUGUAAUAAUGGGAACUCUAGCGGCCCUUUCCCUUUAGCGCCACAGUAGACAAGCUACCACUCCACUACACUUCUUUUGAAACAGAACUACUACCCUUACUUUCAGGCUUGGACUCCUUAGUUUGAUCCGUUCACCUAUAUAAAUAUAAUAUAGAAUUCAGUAGGGGACAAGCCUACAAAAGAGAUAGAUUUCCUCUUUGCUUAACACAAGCACCCUAGCACUAAAGUUCUCUUUCCACCGACAACACUAGCACCAAACCUAUCCCUCUGACUUAGAGCUGGAGCACCAACCCAACCCGCCAAGCAACGAGCCAAGUAACGACUAGAGCACCUAUUUUGGAUGAUCCUUUUGAAGAAACACGGGAUUUUUCAUAGCAAUCGGAUUUCCCCUAAUAGGUGGCCUAUUUGGAAUGAGAUCUUGGCGUUUUCCCGAGAAAAAAGGUAGCCAAGUCAUUUCCCUUCCUGGACCGAUCAAAAGGAAUCAAAGGUUUGCGUUUUCCCGGGAAACAGCGCUGGCGCGUAACAUUAGUAGUUACUUGCCGGAUAGCAUUGUCAUUUCCCUUCCUGGAAGGCAUCAUGGAAAUUGGAUUUGUGCGGGGACUCCUGCCGCAUCACCGAACACAUAGGGAGUAAGAGAGCAACCAAAACGGUUUAUUUGCUUUUUAUUAUUCCAGUUGAGUUUGAGGCCUUGGCCCCGGGAUUUUUCAUAGCAAAUGGAGAAUAUCUCCUCUGAUCUUGCCUCGGAUCUUGCUCUUGAAACUAACCACUCGAACAGGAACAAGCAGUACUAAAGGGAUUCCACUCGCUAACUACAGGCUCGGCUCAUCUAACUCAAUUCAUUUCUUUGAUACCUUCAUUCUUCCCACUCCGAUGAUAAGAUCUAGUCAACUGGUUUUCUUUCUUUCCUUACCUAGCAACUGCAGACUCCCCAUUAGAAGGGACAGGUCACCAAAGCCUUACUAUUAAGCCUUCAACUUCAACAAGGUCUUCCACUCUCACAGGAACAGGGCAAAGUCACUACUAGACAAGAAAGCCAGCCAGUAAACUCUUGCUCUUCUGCCUCAUUGGCAUCCUCCGCUACUGAUGCAACAGCACUACAUGACUUAACGAGCACAAGAACUAUCCUUGAAGACGAGACCAGCUCUCAUACUGGGAGUUCUCUGUCUAUACUCUGCGUGUGACCUAUGAAACCAUCUUUGAAUGCCAUUUCAAGCGAAUUUCCUAGCUUAUUUCCCAUAAAACUUAAUAAGUGCUGCUCUAGUUCAUUUGAAACCUAGAUCUUGAUGGCAUUAAUUAAGGUCACAGGACUGGAAGUUCAGAAAUCAGAAUGGAGUGGACUUACCAACUAGACCACUACAAAUAAGAAUGACACUCGAAGCUAAGAGGCAAGCAACAGAACAAUUCUAGUUCCCCACUUGCAGCAACAGAGCCAUUCUAGUUCCCCUGGCUCGGCAGCAUCAGAUCUUAUCUCAAACCGGAAAUUCCAUUCUUUCUCACACCCGACACCCAUACCAGUAAGCUACCUUAUCAGUCUGCCUAUCCUUGCUUUCAUUCUUUCGCUACCCGGUUGCAUUCUUAGUUGUACUUGUUAGAGACCCUAGCUACACCGCAUCAGCCCGAGGAACACUGGGUUAAGCCUUUGACUCACUGGUAUCAGGCUGAGUGUGAACUGUUUGAUUCUUUGACUCCAAAGCAGCAGUCCCAUACUAACUAGCAUCGGCCUGUAACACCUAAGCUUCAAUCUGAGCCUACCCGGGUGAAGCCUGAGCGACAGUAGUUAGAGACCCGAGCUACCUGGCAGGCUUGGAAGCACUUGUUUCGUUCUGUGACCUGGGUCGGAUAGCCUAUCACUCCUUAGGUGCAGUCUGAGGCAUAUGGGUUUGGUUCUUUGACUACCGGGGCUCAGUCUCAGUGGCACUGGUAUCAGGCUUAGAGUCAGGUGUUUGGUUCUUAGGGGCACUGGUUGGAGUCUUGUCAGCACCAGUAGCUGGCUUGGAAGUUUAGGUUGAAGUCUUGCUCGCCCUUGGUUGAGUCUGUAACUACCUACCAGAAGCCUUAUUCCCAUGGUGGAAUCUGCUACUAAUGAGUUGAAGCCUUAGAUGCACUGGGUCGAUUCUCUGUCUGAUGAGUGUCAGUCUGGUUAGCAAGGGUUGGUGUCUGAUUGGAUCGAGUUUGAGUCUGAUCGGCACCAGCACUAGUCUGUUACUCCUUAGCCUCAUUCUCGGUGGUAUUGGUUGCAUUCUGAUCGGAUCUAGUUGAAGUCUGAUUGGAGUGAGUUUGGUUCUGAGAUGCACUGGGUUGGUUCUGCAAGUAAGUGAGUGAAGACUGGUUGGUAGGUGCCUCAGUCCUAGCAACAUCGGUAUCAGCCUUAGAUGCACUAGUGGAAGGAUUGCUUGCACUGCUUUCAGGCUUGGACUGCCCAGCUCCGUUCUCAUACUGCCUAGGUGAAGUCUUUGAUGCACUGCUUUAAGCCUUAGAUACACUGGCUGCAUUCUCGCUUCCCGGGGUUGAUAGCAAUUCUGCACUUCUUUACAUAUAGCUUGGCUUCAAAGCCUCUCUUCUGGCUACAACUACUGAUGCAACAGGACCAUACCACUCACAAAACCCCGGCAAAAAGGGCAGCAACCAGUGAGAGCUCCUGCCGCGUAACUAACUACGUUCCUUGCCUGAUAGCCAUAUGUACUAGUCUCUUUGCUUUGAGUGGAAUUCUGAAACUACUCCGAGUUGACUUCUUGUUAUCAUAUAUAAGAUAAUAUAUAAUUUAGUAGGGCCAAGGAACGGAUAGACAAGUAGGCAAGCAUCGGCAUACAAUCCGUUUUCAUGAGGCCAACAACAACUUGGGCUGUAAACUAUUGAUCCUAUACAUCUCCUCUAACUCUGGCUCCGUCAAGCUACAACUACUGAUGCUGAUUCUCUUUCUUCCCUUUCCUUCCUCUCCUCAAGAAUUAGCAGUGCGAGGAAAGUCUUCGAGAGACCUUAUUGGUUAGCUGUUACUAAUUUCACUGUGACUAAUUUCAAACAAUUUGGUCAAGGAGAAAGUGUAGUUCAAUUUAGGAGUUUGCAAAGGAUCUUAACCAGUGUGGUAUGCCAGCGGAGUGAAAAGAGCAAGAGCAAGAGGCAGACUGCACUUUACUAUUAAUUCGUAGAUUAGAAAGCAGCUUGCUUGUUGAAUAGGGCUCCUAGAGAUCCUUUACUCUGCCCCGACCUAUACUUUCUGUGAAGCCGAAGCCGAAGAUUCUCUAGCUCUUUUCGAAUGUCCUAUAUUAGCUAUUUCCUCAUUGCUUAACACAAGACAAGCACCCGAACCCACUUCUUUACUUAUUGCUUCCUCGCCUGUAACUGAACGAGGAUUCUGCUUCUCUGAACUUCACUUCUUCUUAUCCCGAUCCUGCUGAUGACCUGAACUAUACCUUCUUUGCUACUUACUUACGAACUUAAGCAUCUGAUCUCGUCGUAAAGACAGAUUCCACUUCAACAAGGUAUUCAAUUAGAACCAGGGGAUGGGUAAAAUGCUUUCUUUUCAGUUUCAGAACUAUGAUAUGGACUUUCCCUCUAUUACAUUACUUCUCUAUGAACUAUAUUAUAUUUACCACUAGAUUCUAUUUACCUUUACCUCUACCGGUGUACAGAAUACUAGUCUCUCUCUUUGGUUACUCAAAACUUCUAUUUAAGGGUAUAGUAGUAGUCCAAUGGAAGCAGUGCCAAGCCGGAAGGGGGGAGAGAAUCCUUAUAAUACUGAUUUCACUUUACUACUGGAGAACUACUUGCUGCUGACUUAACUGCUGAAGAAAAGAGGGCUUCUUUCCAAGAGUCAACUCAAUUAUUAAAGGAAGGAGUGCUGGGGGCAGUAAAGUAAGUAAACUCUAUAAAUUAUACUGCCUUUGAAGCGAGGUGUCCUGUCGCACCCCCAUAAGAAUGGAGCUCUAUCUUGUCAACAACAAAUAAGUAACAGAAUGGACCUCUCCUCUCUCUAUCUUGCCAACCCACAUUCUGCAGACCGUUUAGACCACAUGAAGUAGGCACAUCGGGUGGAGCAGCUAAGGGGAAAGUUUCAAUAACUUCUCGCUACUGAAGUAGACCGUGCAAAGGUAAGACCUAUGUUCAAGGUUGUUAACGCUUAUGAGUUCGUGCAGCUCGACAAGCAAAGGAAAGCCAAGAACGUAUCUCUAUGAAGCAUAAGAUCGGAUUACUGCUGACUGACUUGAUACUGUUUCUUCUUAGCUUCCUUCUACAAAAGCUUGAACCCGAACUCUCUGCUUGAGCUUGCUGUACGACGAAAACAGAAGAAGUUAUGAUUAAUAAAUAAAUAGUAGCGCUACGGCAUCAAAGCAAUUAAUGGAUUAUGACCUCGAUACCGCCUCUGAUCUCGCAAACUCCCUGACUUUUGAUUAUUCCUCGAACUCGUAUUAACUUGAAGAACUGCCUUGCAACAAAGAAUGGAAUCGAAACCAUACUCUCUACCCUUGUAAAACUCCUCAGGUAAAUUAGAUCACUACUUUACGCACCUAUGUAAAUGACUCCUUCCCUUUUAGCCCGGCAUUAUAGUCAUUUUCAUCUAACGCACAACCUCAAAGCUCACGCUCUACUUAAUGGAAUUCCUAAACUAUGGCAAACAAACGAAACUCACCGGACUAACGCACCCAAGAAGUAAGCUAAGGCUUAAGACAGGAAUGAACCUAAGCUUGUUUCAUGAAUGGAACUUUGCCCUUACUUUAGCACUGUGGAGAAUCCUUCUUUUUAUUCCUCUCAAGCAUCAGAUCUUUCUUCGGCAACAGAUCCAGCUCUUUAUCCUUGACUUUAUUCUCUGACCUUUAAAAGCCAGUACUUGAUCUUGAUCCAGCUUAUGGUUUCCACUCGAAAGUUCUAUUUCUCUGUAAUUAGAAUUGAAUCCUCCUGCCCUAUUCCUUGGCUUGCACCUUAGUGAGCCACCCUAAACCAACCCAACUAUUUCUCUUAUUUGCUUGUUUAUCGCAAAAAGCAUUCCAUUCCUGUUAGCUAGCUCUUGUCGUUAGCGCACCUAAACUAGAUUAUGACUUUACCAGCACCUAAAGAGAAGUAAGCAUUAGCAGCACUAAGUCAAAGAGAAAUAAGCAUUAGCAGCACGAAGUCUUGUUGCAACGAGGAAACCUUUAAAGUCAUCUUUCUUGCGCCGAGGAAGAGGAAACCAGAAAUAGGAAUUGUUAAUAUAUGUGAAUAUAUGGUUAUAUAUGGUUAUAUAAAGAGUGAGUGGGAAUGUAAACUCCAGCUAGCACGCACAAAGUCUCUUCUCUUGUUGCGCUACUAAAAAAGGACUCGUGCAUAACUCCUACUAACGCAGACUCGUUCUAGGCAGCAUACUAAUGCUUGUUGAGUGCCUUUCCUCUCUAUGCUUCUAUGCUUAUUCGUCUUGCUCCAGUUCUCGUAACACGAACACAGCACUUGGAAUUGAUUCUCUCGAUGUAAGGUCAAGCUGUAACUCCUAAUGUGUAAGUCAAAGAAUUCUCUUCCGAAUACAUUAAUUCUUUCCCGCCUAACUAAGCUUCUCUUUUGCCUACUUACUAGCUAGAUUGCUUGCUUCUUGAAACAUAUUCCUCUGUUGGUCGACUUUCGAACUGGAACUACACUUGAUGACUGGAACAAGACUGGAAUUGCUAUCAGCAAAGUCACUAGACAAGUAACGGGCAAGAGGAGAAGGUUAGGAUAGAGGUCAAGUGGAAAGUAUAGUUUAAGUGCUCGUCCUGUAGUUGGCGAGUGGAAUCCUAACUAAAGAGUGGAAUCCCCUUUAAGUAGUAGUCUAGACUUCCUGCAACUCUGAUAUCCUAUAGCUCUGGCAACUGGCAACUAUUCUGAAUUUCCACUCCGGACCUUCCCUUUAUGAGCGCCAAACAACUACUAGACAAGUAACUACUACAAAAACAUAGAAGGCAAUAAACUAAUAAUAACAGUUUUCAUGAGUUGUUAGCAAGUCCUAAUUAAUAGCGUCAGCGAGCUGAAAAGCGGUAGCGAGUGAAACUGCCUUUGUUUCAUCCUUUGAGUGACCAGUGGAAUUCCCGCUUUUUAGUUGAGUUACCUGUCCCCGAAGCCUAGUCCAUUAGUUAGUGGGUGGUUCGUUUCCUUGUUAUUGGAUAAAGUAUCGGAAACACCAGCUUAAGUCUGAUCGUAGUAGUGGAUUUCCAAAACAAAGUAAUAGAAACGGUCCUUGCAGUGAAUUUCCUUAUAAUAAGAUCAAGUAUGAGAAGGCAGUCGCCUAUUCUUGUAUGCCUCAUUAGUCCAUUCUUUCUAGUAUAGGACCAAGUCUGGUUCUCAGUGGGCUCAGUCUAAGAAGUAGGAGUCGGAGUCCCAUAAUCUAAUCGAGCGGAGACAUACUCUGGUUUAGGAGCAAGAGACUUGGCUACAGUAAAGGGAAGGGUAGACUGAUAGGUAGGAUAUAAAGUAUCUGGACCAGGAGUCUUAGGUUGAAACCAAGGAGAGGUCGCUUAGGUAGGGCAGGGCAUCCUAUAAAGCACUAGGUUUAGUUUGAACCCGAGGAAGGGUAGGCUGAUUGCUAGUAAAGCUGUACUUGAGUGAAGUAGUUCAUUUCUGUAUUCCCGGGGGGUUAACAGCUGUUUCAGUCUCAUUUGGGGGGUUAUCAUACCUAAGCCAGCAGUCACAGCCUUCAAACAGUAUUUGCAGUGUAUAGCCAGUAGAUUGAUUCCCUUUUUCGAGUGGAGUUGUUGUUGACCUUAGAUUCAGUAGUGCCAGGCUAUAGUCAGUAGCUGGAGAACGGCCAAGUAACUGCUGGACGCCAAGUCACUUCUAGACAAGACGACAGACAAGACGAGGAUAGACAAGCAGACAAACAACUAAGUAAUAGAAUCAUAGGUAAUAGGCUCCAAAGCUAAGUAAUAGAAUCAUGCCUUGUCUAAGAGCAGGACGAAUUGAACUACAAACUGGUAAUCGAACCUCAUACUUGAUCCUAAAAUAAGGAAUGGAACAGCUGUCAACAAGACUCUCCAUGGAACUAAGACCUAAGCUGCCUGCCUAAUUAUCUGUGUUGCUCCCGGAACCCUUGCUUGUUAGCUAAAGAAACGAGCUAAGGAAUCAAAACUUAGUGAACUCAACCCGGAACACAAGGAAAUCAACCAGUCACUGAAAGACUUAUAUCACUACGAGCAAUAAUCUAAGUCUGUGAAACUUAUGAGGCUCUCAACUAAUUACUAUUAGACUGAAAUCACUGCUAGCAAGGAUCCAACUCAACACUAUUGCCGCUACACUCUUUCAGGGCUGUUGGGCUUCGAUACGUAUCUGUUCUUGCACGGUUCCAACUCUGCUACUGCUAACUAAAAGAAUCGAUCUACCAACUCGGAAUCCUACAAAUAAUGGAAAGAAUCGAACAAGAGAAAAAGAAUCUAACUAAGGUAGUACGAUGUAGUGCACACUAAGCGUAGGUACGGGAUAGCGCAUACCAGCAGAUAGAAACAAACUACUGAUAAAAAGAAUGCGAUUAGCGCUUCUAAGACAAAAACCAAAUAUAAGGAAUUCACUAGUACACCAAUAAACUCGGACACCAAACAAUACUAGGACUUUUGAACUAGGAUUGAACCAACGUUAGCAAGAAGAAACUAGCGCGCUAAGAGACUGAACCGCAGAACUCAUAAUUGAACAAGAGAACAGGAAUGGAACUGCUACUUAAAGGGCUUGAACUAAUGCCUNNNNNNNNNNNNNNNNNNNNNNNNNNNNNNNNNNNNNNNNNNNNNNNNNNNNNNNNNNNNNNNNNNNNNNNNNNNNNNNNNNNNNNNNNNNNNNNNNNNNNNNNNNNNNNNNNNNNNNNNNNNNNNNNNNNNNNNNNNNNNNNNNNNNNNNNNNNNNNNNNNNNNNNNNNNNNNNNNNNNNNNNNNNNNNNNNNNNNNNNNNNNNNNNNNNNNNNNNNNNNNNNNNNNNNNNNNNNNNNNNNNNNNNNNNNNNNNNNNNNNNNNNNNNNNNNNNNNNNNNNNNNNNNNNNNNNNNNNNNNNNNNNNNNNNNNNNNNNNNNNNNNNNNNNNNNNNNNNNNNNNNNNNNNNNNNNNNNNNNNNNNNNNNNNNNNNNNNNNNNNNNNNNNNNNNNNNNNNNNNNNNNNNNNNNNNNNNNNNNNNNNNNNNNNNNNNNNNNNNNNNNNNNNNNNNNNNNNNNNNNNNNNNNNNNNNNNNNNNNNNNNNNNNNNNNNNNNNNNNNNNNNNNNNNNNNNNNNNNNNNNNNNNNNNNNNNNNNNNNNNNNNNNNNNNNNNNNNNNNNNNNNNNNNNNNNNNNNNNNNNNNNNNNNNNNNNNNNNNNNNNNNNNNNNNNNNNNNNNNNNNNNNNNNNNNNNNNNNNNNNNNNNNNNNNNNNNNNNNNNNNNNNNNNNNNNNNNNNNNNNNNNNNNNNNNNNNNNNNNNNNNNNNNNNNNNNNNNNNNNNNNNNNNNNNNNNNNNNNNNNNNNNNNNNNNNNNNNNNNNNNNNNUGACAGCCUUGGACUUACUAGUUGAGUUUCUGACUUAGAGUUAAGGUCUCUUAUGCCCGGAUCAAUUCCCUUUAUCGGUAUUCUCAUUCCCAUAGUAGUUGUAGUAGUGCUCCCAUAGCGGGUUCUCGCGGGGGACUAAACUGUAGAAUCAUAUACUAAGGUUUCAAUCAAUAGCGUAUAGAAUAGGUGCGUUUUACGUAAUUCAAGAUACUGUUUUGAUAUUACAAAUAAGGAAUAACAGUUAGAGUAGCACAAACUAUACUUUAGAUUAAGAGAAUUGCAAUAAGAAUACAGAACGAAAAGAGCAAGUCAAAGAAUGCAAUAGGAACAGCACAAGAUCGAACUAAUAAAUAAGAGAACUAAAGGGACCUAUCCGGAUAACCAUUACUGUCUUUCAUUAUGAAAACUAUCAUGCCCGGACUGAACGACACCUUUCACUCUUGAAACUUCCCUUCCUACUUACUGAUCUGUGGAAUGGACGAUCCUUGCUUUGCUGUAUCUAAACCGGACUUGACCUCCGCUCUUUAGUGUCAUUCUGAGUAGUACUUGUUUCAUUCUUAUUAAUAGUGGCGAACACACUGACGCUCGAAAUUAGGUUCACUCAGGAUUUGUUGUUUCAUUAAAAAGCUUAUCCGCCCUUAACCCUUCUCUUAGAAGCACAAGCACCGAACCAGUCAUCCGCCCUUAACCCUUUACCUUAUACUUUACUGAGAGCGCAUUAACAAGAGAAGAUCACUCCUACCGCCUCGAAGACAAGACUUGCUUAUAACUCAUUAAACCAUAUUAUUUGGCAAAACUGCUGCCGCUUUUCACUCGCUACCGCUACACAUUAGUAGUGACUUGUCCAGUUGUUUGGCCCUUGAUUUACCCAUUGCUUUAGAUAGUCCCUGAUAGUGUCGAGAAGAGAGAGCGCCCAGUGGUGCAAUCAUUUUCUUUAGUUAGUGGUCUGCCCCCCUAAAGCAAGGGGAUUACGUCUUAAAGGAAUGCUUGAUGGAUGUCAACAGUUAAGGGACAAAGAGAAGGUGCCUAGUCAUCAACACGAGCGAACCUGGGCAAUAGCUAUAGGCACUCAGGAUCAGAGCAGAUACGAUUGGUCAUGAACAUUUUAGUAAUCAACAGAGAUUCAAUGAUUUGUUGAUUCAGCUAGAGCUAGAGAAAACUCUGUAUUGGUUGACUGGCCCGUAUCGCACUACUGCUCUCAGUCAAGUAGCAAGUCAAGUAUGGUUGUUCCACCGCCCGGUAAGGAAGCAAAAGGGAAGAAGCUACGGUACAUGCAAGGGAACAAGCGAGUUCGCAAGGGCAAGAAAAUAGUACUCUUAUCUAGGGUUAGGUUGCCUCCAUUCAUUCUUCUUAUGCCUCUAUUAUAACUAUCCGUUUUUGUUUUGAGUCUGGUUACGCUAUGAUAUUGGUUGUUAUGUCAGUGAAAUGCUUUUGAACAAGCAACAGUGGAAUAUGGCAUUCCAGUAAAGUACUUGAAGUCAGGGUAGAAAGAAGAAAGUAACGUUGAAAGAAACAAGCUCGUAUCUCGUAUGAAAGCAGUAAGGAGUAAUAUGUUUUGUUACCAGGUAGUGUGGUCAGAAUAAGUUGUAGCAAGGUCGCCUCAAUUCUGUCUUUCGAGUUGUUCCGUCUCUCAGGUAUAUCUGUCUGUCCUAACUAAAUAAAGGCUCCGCUCAGGUCUCUGUCUCUCUUUCUGUCCUCUCCUAAAAAGAAAGGGCUAAGGUAGGUCCUAGUUAAGGGAUAAAGUCAGAAACCAAUGCUCCAGUAAGAGUUAUUACCCACUAGUAGCUACUAGUAUCAAAGGUGCUGUAGCUCGUUUCGUUCAGUUGUUUUUCCAGGAAUUGAGUCUAGCGUUACUAAUAUAGAAUUGAUGAAAAAGAGAGCGGAGCUAAAUAUCUAUAAUUCUGGUAACCUAAACCCGAAACUACAAUAAUUCAGAAGCUCAAUGUAAUCGACCCUUGCUGGUUCCAGAGACUCACUCUUACUCUAUUUAACAAGCUAUUUUAUUGCACCGUUACUUGUUCCGCUCCUUAUUCAAAAAGGUAUUAGCUAUUUGCGCAGAGUAAAGAGGUUAAACGACGAGCUAUGAGUUACUUGGCGCCUUGCCUAGUUGCUUGGCUCUGUCUCUCACCUUUGAAAGUAAGGAAGACAAGCUAUAGGAAUGAUAUCCCAAUUAGGAAAUGAGUCAGCUGGCAAGUAAGCGAGAGCGGGUAGUAUGAACUAACUGGAACUAGGGUAGGGCUAUUCAAAGCAUCGAGCAGUAAAGGCCAAAAUGCAGGGGAAUCAGCAGCGCGCUCUUUACAGCCAUAGUUUGUGUACGAGUCUAAUUUGAGGUUGAAUCAUCAGAGGACAAGGAAGAUGACAUCGAAUAGGCUCUUUCGGGUGCAGCUUUGAAUGAAGGAAUGGAAUCUACAGCUAUGGAAUCGGUUCUUGGCAUAUCAGCUCUUGUGCACUCCUAUUGGGAAAGUCCUAAUAAAGUCCAUUCUUUUGACCCCGAAUACGCUCUUUCCACUUUCCACUUUCUACUUGCAAUAUACUGACUUUCCACUUUCUACUUGCAAUAUAGUAAGGGGUCGCAUUAACCACAAGAACAUUAUUGGAUUUUGGUUGCGCUUACGGAGUUACGCUAGUGAGUUUGCUGGAACAAGAAGCAACGGCUGGCUAGAAAGAAGCAAGCAACUUACAUCUCUGAGGCCUCUAUGUCUUUUGCACUAAAUCAAACAAGCCCAGAAACUAAUAAGCAUAAGCCCUACUGAACAAGGACAAGUCACAAAAGAAACAAGGGCGAGAGCAAGGACGAAAACAAGGACGAAAACCAGGGUAUAUAGUCGAGUCGUUCAUUUUCUUUGAUUUCGCCUAAGUGCUAAUGUGAGUUAGCUAAGUGAGUUAUAUUGGAUUAAGACUUGAACCAACACAGUCCCUAUAGCUCCCCUAUCAUACUUGCAAGUAUCAAGCUCAAGUUGAGUAUCCCGUUGGUGUAUCUAGGUUAUGAACCUCUCCUUUAUAGUAGCAGACCGGCCUAGGCCUAACAGUUUUGUUUAGGUAGACACUUUCUUUGGGCGAGAGAUCGUAUAGACUGGAUACAGUGGAGCUAAUACUUUAGACUCAAGCGCGUAGUGGCGUGGGCUAAGCUUUAUACGACAACUUUCAACCUACUCCACCAGCAACAGCGGAACAAUCACCUUAACUCUCUAACACACUCGUGUCUGGCCUGGCGCCAAGUCCUGUGUCUACCGACCUAAACUAUAACUAGCAAUUAUCCUUCUUCUGAUCCUGGCACACAUCUUGGUUAAGGCUAUACUAGCAGGGCUAUAUCGUAUAACAGAAAGGAAAUACUAUGCUUCCCCAUCUUAGUAAUCUGAUCCUACUUGUGGAAUUGAAACUCUCUUCCCUUUAGCCGAGUAAACAAAGAAUGAUCUUUCGAGGGCGGAAGUUUGCCUAGAGGAUCUUCUUGCUGUAAAAUAAGGAAUUGCAUCUUUUGAUCGGCGAGUCCAUACUGAAUUUGGGUAUUACAAAUAAUAACGAUAUAUAUGACUAUAGCUUGUUUCGACACCUCGUGCAUUAUGUUGUAGGGCCAGGCCAGUACUAUCUUCUGCUUUAGUCUCUUAUCUUGCUGAAGACCAAUACCCUGCUUCCAAUCUAUCUUCUUCUCUUUAUUCGACUUCUGAUCUCUAAGACUUAACAAGAACUGAAGAAACCUGGACUUAUACAAAAUGUAGUGGUUAGCUAGCAGGGCGCACUACUGGAAGGGAAGGAUGCUAUAAAUCAAUGUGACGCACUACAGGAAAGAUGCUUUUCAUCUCAGUAUUGGGAACUGGUCUAUGGUUCUAAAAGAGAAUAUGCAUUUCAACAGCUUUUCGGUCAAUGGUAGAAGGCGAAGGCUAAAGUCAGUUGCAAGCAAUUCAGAAAGGGAAUAACUCGCUAACGAAAUGGGCAAAUCAAGUAGAUAGUAUGGUAGAUGCGCUUAAAGAAGUGGAAAGUUCCAUAAGUAUACAGUCUGGUAUCAAGAAACAAGCAAUCUUCUCCUAUCUUCCCUCUGCGCAAGAUGAACAAGUAACAGAACGAGCGGAGCAAGCCGUGUAGCAGGUAGCCCAAAACUCCUGACACAACUCCUUACAUUCUGUCGCUGCCGCUUUGAACUCGCUCCAUCUUUCCGAUAGGCUUCUCCAUGGGGGGACCCAAUUAGGAUCAAUAGGAUUUGGAUAAGCGAAUCGCUUUCGAGGCCUCAAGGAUUGCCCAUUCAUUAAAUAAGGUGCUUGCUUUAGUUCUUUGCUGUAGUAGAGGAGGCUCAUCAAUGAUUGGGAACCAGAAUGUGGGUAUUUCACUAGAUGCCCCUCCAUUGAUCUUGGCUUGCUUCGUUGCAUUCAUUCAUUCAUUGUUUGAUUCUUCGGGCUUCUUACUCUUCCGUCCAUCUUACUAAUAAUAAUGGCAUGGCAAUCGGUCAAAGGCAAAGUUGGAAUUCCGGAAAACACCAAGAAGUAUCCAUUAUUAAGCGAAAAGAUGUGAUCUGAAAUUAUGCACGAUUUACGGGGGUUGUCUUCCUUUCUUGGGAGUGAAGCAAUGAGUUGGGUAAGCUUUCUUGGGAGUUAAGCGAUGAGUUGGGUAAGCUUCCUAAGGGUAUGGCUUCUCCGGGGCGACUAAGGACACACCAAACCAAACGAUCGGUAAACGGGUCUCCUUUUUUACAAUCUCCUACGCUCGCGUACGGUUGUUUUCAAAAAGUCGUGCAAUCAAAAAGCAUUCUAUGAACGAAUUCCUUCAUAGUCUGAAUAGAGUCAGUAGAGUAGAGAGAAAUGGCAUAGUCUUAUAAGUAGAGUAGAGAGAAAUGGGAGUCAGCCUUUGGUAUUAAGUUAUGAUUACUUAGUUCCUGUCUAUCUCUAUCUAGAAUAAUAGAUCCUCUGUGAAGCGGAGAAAGAUCCGUCCAGUAUUUAGAACUAGAUUCGGAAAAAUGACAUACUGAAUAAAACUAAGGUGAGGCGAGUUUCGAUUAACAAAAAGUGGAGUAGAAAGAAGACUCAAUAAAAAAGAAGAAGGCGACACCCCUUGCUGCCUUUACGAAGAUUGACAUUCUUUGCUUCUUUUUGUUGUUUGAAAUAGGACCGGGCCGGGUAGAAUCAGGUUGUAAAGAAAGAAACCGACAGAGUGGGGGAUUGUACUGUCCUCCUCACUGACCCCAAAGAAGAUGGCUCUGUCGCUAAGCAGGCCGGCGGAGAGGACACUCAAAAAGAAGAAAACCCACAAAUAUGCUAUGCUUAACACAAACGGUCCCCCCGGCGAUCGACCAUACGCACCGCGGACGAAGCGUAGAGGUGACUUUAGUUUGUUGUACCGGAGUGGUUCAUCAUCAAAAGAACAACAAUGGGUUGUAGCAUUUCCUAUUCAUUUGGAUAGGGAAGAGAAGAGGGCUUGAACGUCUGGGGCACUAUACAAUGACCACUACGAACGAAGGGCCCAACGACUUUCACUUUAGGAUCAUAACGAACUAUAUGCUUAUCUGGUGGAUGCGCGUUCUUGGGCAGUUUCACCUCUCUAACAAGAAAGAAAGUCAUAUAAGAAAAAGAAGAUGACGCCCACCAAUAAGAGUAUGAGUAAAUAAGGGUCCCGUUAAUCCCGAAACGCAAGUCGAAGGAACCCCGCCAAAGAAAUCCAAUAAAAGGGGUGACCCCUGAAAGCCCGGCCAAGCAACGAGUCAAUCAACGAGCUUCUUUCGCACUGCUUCCCUUUUGCUUACUUACUAUUUCCAUUCAUUAUUCUUAUUAGGGUAAUCCCCGAAUCAGUAGAUAGUUCUGAAUUCUACACUCCCUUCGCUGAUUCCCUUUCUUAUUCCCCGUAUAGUAUGGAAUUGCCAGUUAUUGAACUCUGUCUCAUAUCCGAUACCGUAGUCAACUAAUAUGAAACAAUAAAUACGGAAUUAAGGAGCAGCUUUCGGGUCAGUUCUUGUUUAUUAACUUACACUUACAUGAAAUAUUCAGUAGGUCACUGGAACAUCAGCUGUUCGAAGGGAACUGGUUAGGUUUCUUAGUUAUUAGGGGAAUGCGCUAGAUCUUACCCGCUUCAUUCUUCUCUGUAAACUAAUCAAGUUAGGGCAACUUACUAUAAGGCCUACCAGAUUUCACGAGCACAAGAACUCCCCUUUCCUCUCUCUCCUCUGUACUAAUUGCGGUAACUAAGAUAAGAUGUACAAAGAGACUCCUGUAUCUUGCUAGCUCACCAAUUAGUGGAAUUCUGCAAUUCCUUAGCCCGAGUGUAGCUAUAGCACAGGUUUCAGUCUGACUUUACUACUGGCUCACCUCGCCUACUUACAAUAAAAGUACUUGCACCCGAUGAGACCUCUCUACUUCUAGAAACCCGACCUAAACUAUGGCUAUGUACUCUUUACUACUCUACAACACCUCCGGCUCCCGAGCACAUAGCAAGUAAUAAAUACAUUAUAACGUGUUAUUUCAGAGUCCUAUAUUGUACCAUUUCUUUUGAUACCUUAGGCUCCUAGGCAACUAUUAACUGAACUGAUGAUAAAGCUUCCUCAGCUGCUCUUUCAACUACUUCUAUAUAAGAUGAAACUAGGGAUUCUACUAUAGCACCGAACUACCCUAUGGCAACUCGGGAUGUCGCCUAUACUAUUGAUUGCCUCUGUACCCGCUCUGGCUUAUUCUUAUUUCUCUUGGAUACAUUCCUCGAGCAGUCUCAUCUCACUCAGGAUAUCCCUCCAUCUCAUCUACCUCUCCUCGAAAGUGAACUUAAUUAAUUGUCUUGCCCGACCCGACCUCAACUGGAACUGCUCCUGCUGCAGAGAUAGGGUAGGUUGUUUCUACUCGUAUUCAGGUUAAGGUAAGGCACACGUAUACUUAGUGGAUUGUCCGUCCUUGCUUGUUAGAGCAUAGGUAGGUUGUUUCUACUCGUAUUCAUUAUGGGUGUUGGCGGUAACCCC